rnacentral:lncRNA from 1 species
CUGCUGAGAUUAUGUUUUUGACAGUCCAAAUCAGGGCAAACCAACAAACAGCUUUAUGUUAACUUUUACAAACUGCCACAUUUUCAGGUUAAACAAACAGAGAUAAAUCUUGGUGAAACUAGAAGUAAUACAACCUGUUCUGUGGAGAUAAAAGAAAGGGCAGCAGUACUGGUGGCUGCAGAAAUUGAGGCAUGUAGAGACGAUAGAACCCCCAAGAUACCUCUUCAUGAGAAAGUCCAGAAAGAGUGGGCUUGUGCUGUAUGCCAGUUCACAACCCAAACUGAAGCGACCUUCAAUUCCCACCUUCAAGGGAAGAGACAUCAGGCCAUUUCUGAGCAGCUGAGAGCCAAAAACCAGGCAACCAAAACCAAUUGUUCCCCAUCUGCUUCAAUGGCCAAGAAAUCUGAUCAGUCCACCAAAGAGGAGCAACCAAAGUGUACUUCCAACAAUCUGAAUUCCAAAAACAAUGGAAUCUCAGCUGCUUCAACAGUGAAGAAACUUGAUGAGACCAAAGAUGAUGAGCAACAAAAGUCUGCAUCUAGCAAUGGACCAAACCAGAAGAAUAACAAAAAGCAAGAGGUACAGACCAAUGAGCAAGGCCAUCAGAAGAACUCAAGGCAAACUGGUGAUGGAAUGAAAGAGUUGAGAUCAUGGUGCAAUAUCUGUAAUGUAAGCUGCACAAGGGAGCUUGACCUGGCCUCUCAUCUCAAUGGAAGGAGGCACUUUGAUAGGAUAAAGCAGCUGUCUGAAUUAUGGUGCAGUAACUGCAAUGUAAGGUGCAACAGUGAGGUUGAUAUGGCCUCUCACCGAAAUGGGAGGAGGCACUUGGAGCAGCUGAAGGAACAGUUAGGAUUAUGGUGCAGUAUCUGUAGUGUGAGUUGCAACAGCAAGGUGGACAUGGAUUCUCACCUAAAUGGGAAGAGUCACUCGGAUCAGAUCAAGGACCAGUUAAGAUUAUGGUGUGGGGCAUGUAAUGUAACCUGCAAGAGUGAGCGCAACAUGGCCUUUCAUCUGAAUGGGAGGAAGCACUUAGAGAAGAAGGGGAAUACCUGAUUUGCUCUUCAGAUUAUUGAUACUUACAAAUGGUUUUAGUUAGAAGCAUACAGACCAGUGGGUGGUGCUCACAGAUGCCUCUAUUUUGUUGUAUGAAGUAAAAACAGUAUUUCCAUGUCCAGAAAUCAACCACUUGUUUAGUGCAUGCAUGGCUGGUUCAAAAUUAAACCUAAUUGUGAAUGACUAGGAGCAGGGAGGGAAAAAUUGAAGUGAAGAAUGUAAGAUUAUGGCUUCAUUUUUAUUUUUUCCUCUUCUGAAAAUUGUAAGAUUGUGUUAGGAGGAGCUGGAAUGGGUUCAAAUCAGGAAUUAAGACCCAGUUCCAAGACAUGGAAAGUGUCUUUAGAUUAUGUUAAGUUAUUUCCAUUUUUUUUUCUUUAUUUACGGUAAGAGGGAGCAUAAGGAACGAAAAUGAAUAUUUUUUUUUUUUCGAAUAAAAAUGAAUUUGAUAAUUUCAAUUAUUGUGUUUGGAUGUAUUUCGGAAUGUAAGAUUAAAAUAAUUAUUUGUUUUCAUUUUAGUGUUUGAUAAUAAUGAAAGUAUGAAUUAAAAAAUAAAUUGAUAAUAAUAUUCUUAUAUUUAAUUUAAAAUAUAUAUAUAUUUUUUAUUUUAGAAGAAUAUGGGUUAAAAGUUUUUUUUUUUUUUUAAAUAAUAAGCUUAAGAAAAAUAAUUUUUACUCAAUAAAUAAAAUUAAUCAUACAAAGUCAUAAAAACCAAACCAAAAUAUAAGGGUAAAAUAAUAAUUUUAAACUAUUCAUUUAAGUUAUCCAAAUGCAUUCCGACUCUUCAUUCUCUUAUACCAAAUACCGUCUUUAAGUAUUUGUCAAACUUAUUUUUUUGCAAAAUAUCAAUAUUUUACUAAUAUUUUUAUCGAUUAUUUGCCGAUAUUUAUCGCCACGUCACCAAUUCUUUGAGUUUGACUUUCAAAAUUUUGAAAUGAUCUUUGAAGUCCAGUUCAGCCCAAAUCACUACACCCAUGAACUCAUCUACAAAAGGGAACGGCUGGGCCACCACACUAAUAUGGCCCAUACAUGGGACCUCGUAAAAGAAUACCCAUCUUCAAAAAUAGGGACCAUAUUAAAUUAUUAAUGUAGCUAUAGGAAGCAUUUGAGGACAAGGGUUAUGAUUUUUCCCUUUUCUUUUUCUCCUUAAUUUUCACAUCACCCAACAACACCACUCUUAAUUCACACAAAUUUGAAGGUUUGGAAUGAGACUUCUUCAUAAUUAUAUUGUAAUUAUGUUAUAAUAACCAUGUCGUUUUUGGAUUUAUUUAUUCAGUCCAUCUAAAUCUUUUGUUUAUUCGCGUCAAAACAAUAUAUUUAUAAUCGAAUCCAUUUAUGACAUGUUCAUCUUUUAUAAAUUCAUUAAUUUUAUAUAUUUAAAAUUUAUAAAAGUUAAAUAUAUUUUUUCAAUUAUGAAUAUCAUAUUACUAAAAUAUUAAAUAACUAAUUAACUUGAAAUGUUUUAUAUUUCAUUAAUUAUUUUAUAAUUACAAAAUUAAGUGAAAUAAUAAAUAGGUUAAAAUAUAUAUUUUAUUUUAGUUAAAAAUUAUAAAUUGUUAUUGAGACACAUAACUACUAAAAUUCUACCCAUUUGACUAUCAAACAAACAACUUAAGUUUUUAGUCAUAAUUUAAGCUUAUGAUAAACUCUAUUUACAAAAAUUAGAAACCAAAAUCAAAUUCUUCCUAGACUCAAAAAUAUAAAGACAAUCUUUUAACUUUAGAAGAGAACUAUCAUCUAAGAUAAGGGUAACACAUCCCAUUGCCUGUACAACAAUUCUUGCUUCAAAAGCUAAUGUUAGGUACAUAUCCCUAUCAUUCAACCUUUCCCUUAGCUAAAACCCCUAUAAAGAAUUAUAAACAUGAUCAAUGGCUCCAAAAUUUAUCCACCAAGAGUUAGUGGAAUCUAAUACUAAACAUGAUUCAACUAAAAGAGAAUGAUGCAUACCUGACUGUCUCUUUAAGAACUAAGGGCAUUCCUUUUUCUAAUGGCCUUUUUUACCACAAAGGAAACAUUUGUCAUGACCCUUACUCUUCUUCUUCUUCUCUUGCCCUUGAACUUUCCCUUCUGUUUGGUGAAUUCUAUAAUGUUCUUAUUUUGGUUAGAAGAACCUAAAGAACACUUAACUGCCAUAUAAAUACCUCUCUGAUCCUUGAGAAUUCCCUCAAUCAUUUUGUGUUCUCUCAUCAGUUCGGUUAUAGUUUAAGAAAAAAAUUGUUUUUUUUAUGUGACUAAACUUGGAAUGAAUGUCCAAGUUGCAUACAUACUCGGGUUGAGAUCAAGUCAUAAUGUAGUUUAAGAAAAAUAUUUUUUAUUUUUUAUUUUUAUUUUUUAUCUGAUUGAACUUGGAAUGAAUUUCUAAGCUACUUACGUAUCCAGGAUGGGAUCAAGUUCUAACAUAGUCACAAUGCAGUUCAAGAAUUAUUUUUUUUUCUUUUUUUGUGCUCCAACUUUUGCCAAGACUAAAGAUCUUAAUUUUGCGAGCAUGUCCUAACUUUUGCCUAGGUCGCCUUUCCAAGUUUUCAAUUUAGCAAACUAGGUUUUUUUUUUUCUUUUUAGUUCUCUAACUUUUGCCAAGACUAAAGAUUUUAAUCUUGUAAGCAUGUCAUAACUUUUACAUAAGUCGAAUUUUUAGGUUUUCAUAGUGCUGGAUUUUUUUUUUGUUUUUUGUUUUUUUUUUGUGUCGUAGUCAAUUUAAGCUCAUAUGGGUUGGAAGCGAUGUGUAGUUUGUUGGGAUUGAGCCCUUAAAAGCAAGACAUGAUGUAAUAAAGUUAAACUUAACUAUCCCCUUACUAUCCUUUUGGUGUAUCAACAUUGAUUUAAACAUUCAACCCAUAUCUCUUACAUUGUAUAUGAUUUAGAAGCAUUAGGAGUUGUACAGAAGAUACAAGUUAUGUGUUCUUUGUAAGUAGGUGAGUUAUCCAUAGUCAUUUCAUGGAUUUGGGCAAUCUAGUAGAGACUAUAGUGCACCACCUCCUAAUUGAAGGGAUGACUUGUCUUGGCCGUUGGGAUGAGUUUCCUAUGGUGAGCGUACUAGUGUAUAUGAUGCACAUUGGAUAGGACCUAUGACAAAUCAUGAUGCAAGGCUAUCAAUUGUCAUGAUUCACCAAGUUACUAUACUACAUGGACUCUCAACCUUGAGAGGACAUUGAACCUGUGUCAAAAUCAAUAGAAAGUUUUGACCUAUGGGCGAGACCCUAAAGUAGUCAUAUAUCCUUAUGAAUUAGGUCAUUGUUGAUGGAGGCUAGUGAUAAUAGGCAUUCUCAAUAGAGGCACCAUGAUAUGUCAUGCGAUUGAGAUGGUGUGUCCCUUUGGGUGAUCCAAGGAACAUGUGAUCAUGAAAUUUGUGGCCACAGUAAUUCCUUUAGUGGAAUUUGACAUAUGCUCAAGGAUUUGAGAGAUAAUAUUGAUAGGUGAUAACACUAUCUUGUUAGAUUAUAGACACCAGUUUCAUGGGGAAUCUGCAUGUAGUGGAUAGUAGGUCAUGAAUGCGAGCUUUGUCUCGUUGUUAUUUACAUAAGGUACUGGAGUGUAGUUGAUUCUCUUUAGUAGAAUGUUAAAUCAACUUCAAAAUUGGAUUAUGAGGGAGCCAGUACUCCUAUGGGUCUCAAUGGUCCCCACUCUAAGCUUAUAUACCAUGAUGACAUAAUUUAUGAGGGUUGGAUUGGCUUUAGGUUCAUUCUUAUGCAUAAGGGCAUUUUGGUAAUUACUCAAGGUUGCAUAGGGGAUAAUAAAUAAGGUCUCUAGAUUGGACUAAUUGAUUAAUUAGAUGGCCUUAUGUGGUUAAUUAAUCAAUUAAGACAUGUUAGGGCUAGAUUAAGUGACUCAAGCCUUGAUGGGUUCAAGUCACUUAAGCCUAGUGGGUAACCGUAUAAAUACCCCCUUAUGGGUUAGGGUUUUCUAAUGACUUUUAGUUAGUCAUCUUCCACUUUUAGAAAAAUAGAGAGAGUCAAAGCUUCCUCCUUUCCACUGCCCACACUUUGGAAUGCCAAGAUCGUGGAUCGAGUCAUCGAACGAAAGAUCUUGGGUGUAUGAGACCUUCGAACUCUUUAGGCUUCUUCUUCGUUGGAUGGAUUUUGAUCUAGGAACAUCUAGAUCACAUGUAUGUGUUAUAAAAUUUGGUUAAUUCAACCUAAGGUAAUCAUCCUAGAGAAGGGGCGAAUAGGGUGAUGAUCUUUUUUUGAAAAUUUAAAUUAUGUGAAUGCAAGAGACAAUUAUAUGCAAAAUAUAUAGCAAAACCAUAUAAAAACAAUUGCAUAUAAAGUAAAAGGGUAAGGAAGAGAGAAAAUAAACACAAGAUUUUUAUAGCGAUUCAGUGCAACCCGACCUUCAUCCAUUCUCCUCUAGCUUCAAUCCCAAACUUGAGGUUCCACUAAUUUAAGGCUUCCAACCCAAGCCUUCAAGCAAUACAAUCGGAUUAUGGUUCCAAUCAAACCUCUUGAAAUUUUAGUUCUAAGCACAUUUUACAAUCUUCAAGAGAUACCUCACUCUUAAACAACUCCUUAAGUGAUACCCCACACUUGAGAAUCCCUAAGUGAUACCUCACACUUAGAUUUUUCAUCUCAAAGAUUUAUAAAUGAAGAUAGGAAAUUGUUAGCCCAAGGGCUCUCCUAAUCGGGUUUUGAUGAUAAAAAAUCAUGGUUAAAUGACUAAUUGGUUUAAUGGUUAAGAAUCUCAGGCAUAAACUUGAAAAUUCAUCAAAAGACCAAAUGGAUACAAGAUCGAGACGUUUGGAAGACUUGUGAUCAUAGGAAACUAAUGUAAGAUGAAUGCAUGAGUACACUUAGGAUUUUCAUACCGUUUCAUGCAAUUUAGAAAACUCGGUUUAUUCUUUAAAACUUCAAUUUCAUUAAAACUUGAGUUUUAACAAAUGUACCUUAGGCAAAAUGUUUUAAAAUUGGCAUAAUAAUUCACCUAAAAACCUUGCUUAAGUGUUAGAAAAGAAAGGAAUUGAAAAAUAUAGGUUUUCGGGGCCAAAAGGCUCAACCGAUCGAGGCUAUGACCAACCUGCUCAACCGGUUGGGGAAUCGGUCGACCGGUUGCCCCUGUCCGGUCGAGGUUCGAUAGAGGGAUGCACAAAAUUUUCUUUCUCUCCCAGUAGCCUUCUCUUCUCGGUCGAGGUCUGGUUGAGGACCGAUCAAGGUUCGAUCGAGGCAACGGUAACCUGUCAAGCAUUAAAUGUUCCAACGGCUAGUGAACCGGUCAACCCCUAGCUCGACCAGUUGAGGUUACCUUUUGCUGUUUUUGGCUCCCGAGCUUAGAAACCUAUAAAUUGAGAGCUCCACUUUAUUUAUUGACGAGAGAACACUUGCAAUCAAUUGUCUACCUACCUGUUCUUGAUCAAAAAACUCUCAUUUCUUUCUUUGUGCAUUAAAUCAUCACUUGCAUAUCCUUUAGUGCACUCUUAUGUGUCAUCCUAGCUUUGUCUUAUAUUUGAGCUAUCCUUAAGCUAGGUUGAGGGAUUCAUUCUUGUAAAAACUGAGUGUCAAAGCCUUCAAGAGGUUUAAAUCUUGAAGAGAUUGUGUAAGAGCCCAUUGGAGCCAGAAUCCAAGUGUAAGAAGAUUGGAAGCUUGGUUGAAGCUUCAAGUUAGUGGAACCCUCACUCGGUUAAAAGAUUGAGGAGAGUGGAUGUAGGGAAGGAAGUGUCGAACCACUAUAAAACCCAAGUUUGAAUUCUCUAACUCUAUCUCUUUAUUUUGCUUAUAUUGUGCUUGAACUCGUUGUGAUUGAAAAGAAUUUAAAAAACCCAAUUCAUCUCCCUCCCCCCUUUUAGGUGUUUUUCUUAAUUAAGCAUAGCAUUUAUUUUCUCAAUUGGUAUCAGAACUAGACCUCUUGUUUUUUUUUUUUUUUUAAAAAAAAAAAUUAAUCGUCUAAGAGGAUAUGACUAUUGCAUCAAGCUCAUCUCAAGCUAAAAUUUUUUCAAAACAUAGAGCUUCAUUCUUUACGGGAUCCGACUAUCCCUAUUGGAAAACUAGAAUGACUUGGUACUUACAAUCUACUGAUUUAGAUGUAUGAGACGUCAUUGAAGAUGGCCUAACUUUUCCCACUAAACUAGUUGAUGGAGUUUUGGUUCCAAAACCCAAGCAAGAAUGGAAUGAGCUUGAUAGAAAAAACUUUCAAUUAAAUGCUAAAGUCGUUUUUACUUUGCAAUGUGCUAUGGAUAGAAAUGAAUAUAAUAGAAUAUGUCAAUGCAAAUCGGCUAAAGAAAUUUAGAGGUUGCUUGAAAUAACUCAUGAAGGAACUAAUCAAGUGAAAGAGUCAAAAAUUAAUUUACUUGUUCAUAACUAUGAAUUGUUUUCAAUGAAAAAAAAUGAUACUAUUGUUGAGAUGAUUACUAGGUUCACCGACAUUGUCAAUGGUCUUGAAGCUUUGGGAAAAACCUACAAGGAAUCCGAGAAGGUGAUGAAGAUAUUGAGGUCUUUCCCAUCAAAGUGGCAUACCAAGGUCACUGCAAUUCAAGGAGCAAAAGACUUGACUAAGCUACCUAUGGAAGAGCUCAUAGGGUCAUUAAUGACAUAUGAGAUCAAUUUGACAAAGAAGCUACAAGAGGGUAAAGACAAAAAGAAGAAGAACAUAACCCUCAAAGCUAUAACCAAGGAAGAAGAAGAUGUUGAAGAAGAAAAACCAAGUGAUGAAGAUGAUGAUUUAGCCCUCAUCACAAGAAAGCUCAACAAAUACAUGAGAGGUGAAAGGUUUAGAGGAAGAAAGUUCACCUCUAGAAGAGAUCCUUCUAAAAAGGAAUCUUCAUCCCAUGGUGACAAGGAGAAAUGAGAAGAUAAAAGAGAUUUGAUAUGCUUCAAAUGCAAAAAACUGGGACACAUUAAAUAUGAUUGUCCACUCUACAAGAGUGAAGCCAAGAGAAGAAUGAAGAAGGCAAUGAUGGCCACUUGGAGCGAAAGUGAAGAAUCCUCCGAAGAAAAAAAGGAGAAGGAAGUAACAAACAUGUGCUUCAUGGCAAUAGAUGAUCUUGAUGAGGUAAACUCUAACUUUAGUGAUGAAGAUAUGUAUGAUGUUUUUGAAGAAUUAUAUGAGGAUUUUGAAAAACUUAGUUUGAAAAAUAAUUCUCUUAAAAAUAAAAUUCAAGAACUUGAAAAAGAACUUGAAGAAGUAAAAGAAAAAGUUUCAAUUGUUGAAAUAUCUAAAACUCAUCUUGAAAAAGAAAAUAAGAUUUUGAGAAGUGAAAAUGAGAUUUUGAAAAAGAAAAAUGAAUGGUUGACCUCCUCUCUUUCAAUUUUCUCUUGUGGAAAAAAAUAUUUUGAAAUGAUCUUAGUUAGCCAAAAAUGUAUUUUUGACAAACAAGGGUUAGGAUUCAAAUCUUCAAAAAAUCAAAAGUAUUUUAAAAACUACUUUGUAAAAGAAUCCGCAAGUGUAAGUCAUUCUACCACUUGCAACUUUUGUAGAAGAGGAGGAGACAUUAGUAGUACAUGUCUCUUAAGAAAUGGUUCUCAAAAGAAUUCAAAUGCUAAAGCUAAAAAGGUUUGGGUUGAGAAAUCCAAAGUCACUAACCCUCAAGGACCCAAAAAGAUAUUGGUACCUAAAUCAACUUAAAUUUUAUUUUGUAGGGUUCAAAGAAGGAUAAGUGGUUCUUGGAUAGUGGAUGCUCAAGACACAUGACCGGGGAUGAAUCCAAGUUUGUUUUCCUUACAAAGAGAAAGGGAGGAUAGGUUACCUUUGGAGACAAUGCAAAAGGAAGGAUCAUUGGUCAAGGCAACAUUGGUAAUGACACAUCCUCUCUUAUUGAAAGUGUUUUAUUAGUGGAUGGUUUAAAACAUAAUCUUUUGAACAUAAUUUAACUUUGUGACAAAGGUUUUAAAGUGAUUUUUGAAGCAUUUCAUUGCAUUAUCAAAGAUAUUCAAAAUGAUAAAACCAUCUUCAUGGGCCAUAGAUGUGAUAAUUUUUAUGCUAUAAAUAUUUCAAAUAUGAUGGCCAUGGUAAAUGUUUUUCAAGCAUGCAUGAUCAAAGUUGGUUGUAGCAUAGGAGGUUGGGACAUGCUAACAUGGACCUCAUUUCCCAACUCAACAAAGAAGCACUUGUUAGAGGCCUUCCCAAAAGAAAUUUUCAAAAAGACAAAGUUUGUGAAGCUUGUCAAAUGAGAAAGCAAAUCAAAAACUCUUUUAAAAACAAAAAUUUCAUUUCAAUAACUAGGCCUGCAUAUGGAUUUAUUUGGUCCCUCUAGGACACCAAACCUUGGAGGAAAAUCUUAUGCAUUUGUUAUUGUGGAUGACUUCUCUAGAUACACUUGGGUCUUAUUUUUAAGUCAAAAGAAUGAAGUCUUUUUUGAGUUUUCAAAGUUUUGCAACAAGGUUCAAAAUGAAAAAGGUUUUACAAUUUCUUGUAUAAGAAGUGAUCAUGGAGGAGAGUUUGAAAAUAUUGAUUUUGAAGACUAUUGCAAUGAGCAUGGUAUUAACCACAAAUUUUUGGCUCCUAGAACUCCUCAACAAAAUGGGGUAGUUGAAAGGAAAAAUAGAACUCUUCAAGAAAUGGCUAGAACCAUGCUAAAUGAAAACAAUUUACCAAAAUACUUUUGGGCCGAAGCAAUUAACACUUCUUGUUAUGUUUUAAAUAGAAUUUUAUUGAGGCCUAUUCUUAAAAAAACUCCCUAUAAGCUUCGGAAAAACAAGAAACCCAACAUUAGCUAUUUCAAAGUCUUUGGGUGCAAAUGCUUUAUAUUAAAAACCAAAGACAAUCUUGAAAAUUUUGAUGCAAAAUCGGAUGUUGGAAUUUUUCUUGGUUACUCAACUUUAAGUAAAGCCUUUAGAGUUUUUAACAAAAGAACCAUGGUUGUUGAGGAGUCCAUCCAUGUUAUUUUUUAUGAAUCUGACAAUUCUCUCCAAGAAAGAGAGAGCUUUGAUGAUGAUUUAGGCUUGGAGACCUCCAUGGGAAAAUUACAAAUUGAAGAUAGAAGGCAACAAGAAGAAGUUGUAGAGGAUCCCAAGAAAGAAGAAUCACCUUUGGCACUACCUCCUCCUCAACAAGUGCAAAGUGAAUCAAGCUAAAACCUUCCUAAAGAUUAGAAGUUUGUCAUCAACCACCCACAAAAUCAAAUUAUAGGUAAUCCAUCUAGUGGGGUAAGAACUAGAUCAUCUCUUAGAAACAUUUGCAAUAAUCUUGCUUUUAUCUCUCAAAUUGAACCUAAAAAUAUAAAUGAUACUCUAGUUGACGAAAAUUGGAUGAUUGCUAUGCAAGAAGAGUUAAAUCAAUUUGAAAGAAGUGAAGUAUGGGAAUUAGUGCCAAGACCUCAAAAUCAAAGUGUUAUUGGAACUAGAUGGGUCUUUAGAAAUAAAAUGGAUGAAAAUGGCAUAAUUAUAAGGAAUAAAGUAAGAUUGGUAGCCCAAGGUUUUAAUCAAGAAGAAGGGAUAGAUUAUGAAGAAACCUUUGCUCUCGUAGCUAGAUUGGAAGCCAUUAGGAUGCUACUUGCCUUUGCACGUUUUAAAGACUUUCUUUUAUAUCAAAUGGAUGUGAAAAGUGCUUUCUUAAAUGGCUUUAUAAAUGAAGAGGUAUAUGUUGAACAACCACCCGGUUUUCAAAGUUUUAACUUUCCUAAUCAUGUUUUUAAACUUAAAAAUGCACUUUAUGGUUUGAAACAAGCACUUAGAGCAUGGUAUGAAAGAUUGAGUAAAUUUCUUUUGAAAAAGGGUUUUAAAAUGGGAAAAAUUGACACAACUCUUUUCAUAAAAAUAAAGAAAAUGACAUGCUCUUAGUGCAAAUAUAUGUUGAUGAUAUCAUUUUUGGAGCUACUAAUGUCUCUCUUUGUGAAGAAUUUUCUAAAUGCAUGCAUAGUGAGUUCGAAAUGAGCAUGAUGAGAAAACUUAACUUCUUCCUUGGACUUCAAAUCAAGCAACUAAAGGAAGGAACCUUCAUCAAUCAAGCAAAGUAUAUAAGAGAUCUCCUCAAAAGGUUCAAUAUGGAGGAAGCGAAAACAAUGAAGACUCCAAUGAGUUCAUCCAUCAAGCUUGACAAGGAUGAGAAAGGUAAGUCCGUUAACUCAACUAUGUAUAAAGGCAUGAUAGGUUUUUUGCUAUAUUUGACCGCUAGUAGACCUGACAUCAUGUAUAGUGUAUGCUCGUGCGCUAGAUUUCAAUCUUGUCCUAAAGAAUCUCACUUAAGUGCCGUAAAAUGAAUUCUUAGAUAUUUAAAAGAGACAAUGGACAUAGGCCUAUGGUAUCCUAAGAGUGAUAACUUUGAAUUAAUUGGAUUCUUAGAUGCCAACUUUGCCAAUUGUAAAGUUGAAAGGAAAAGCACUAGUGGCACUUGUCAUUUCCUAGGACACUCACUUGUUUCAUGGCAUAGUAAUAAGCAAAAUUCGGUAGCCUUGUCAAAGGCGGAAGCAGAAUACAUAGCAGCUGGUUUAUGUUGUGCACAAAUCCUUUGGAUGAAACAAACACUUAGUGAUUUCAAUUUGAUUUUUGAGCAUGUUCCUAUUAAACGUGAUAACAUUAGUGCCAUAAAUAUUUCAAAAAAUUUGAUGCAACACUCUAGGACUAAGCAUAUAGAGAUUAGACACCAUUUUCUUAGAAAUCAUUUACAAAAAGGUGACAUUACACUUGAAUUUGUAAGCACAAAAGAUCAACUUGCCGAUAUUUUUACAAAACCUCUAAGUGAAGAGCAAUUUUUUUAUAUUAGAAGACAACUAGGGGUGAUUUCUUUAUAAUCAAAUGAUUACUUGAUGAAUUCUUGAUUGAAUAUACCUUAUGAUUGCGUGAAUUUCACAUCAUAUGCAUCAUAUAGAAAUAAUCUUAGGAAAAAGGUCAAAUUUUGACCAAAAAUCAAAAUUCCCUUGGCAUUGGAUAUCAAAAAUUGGGGAUUUCAACUGAAAAGGGCAAGGGAAGGAUCACGAGACAAGCAAAAGCCAAAAAAUUAGAGCGUUGACCAUUGACCAUUGACCAUUGACCAAGCGGUUCGUCGGGGCUGGGAAUUUAAAGAGACCCCCGCGCUUUAUUUUUUUCACUAUUCCCCUCAAUUCCUUGAAAACUCUUCACAUACCUGCUUCCAGAGACCACUUUGGGUUGAAUCUUGGACCAUUUGAAGGGCUUGGAGUUGUUUUUGGGACGUUUUUAAGACUAGGGUUUCAAUCUGAAACCUAAGGUUUCCAUUUUUAGGAGCAAUUCCUCUCAGACCACGUGCAUCAGCCAGGCUCAACUCCUUCUCCUUGCGCUUAGGGCUUCCGGUUGGAUUUCAUUCUCUCUUGUUUGGUUUCAUUCUCUCUUCAAACUUCUUUUUCUUCAUUUUCCGUUCUUUGGAUGGCGCCUAGGAGAGAGACAACUACCUCUAGGGCUCAGGGCAAGCGCCCUGCUGAGCCAUCUCAACCUGAGCAGAUGGAGGCUCACCGAAAGGCGAGGUAUGACACGACCCUCUGUGGACCCGCAUUUUUCACGUGCGUCCCCACUCGAUCGGCGAGACUCGCUUUUUAUUUGUGAAAAAUUGAUCUUUAAAAAAAAAAAAGUUGGAGUCGCCACCUAUUUUAUUUUUAUUUUGAAGGGAAAAUAAAACAAGAAAGAAAAACCCUAAAAAGUGACUCCAUGGUUUUGGAAAAAGCAUGUCUUUGAGAAACCCGAGUCUAAGUCCGGGGAUCAGGUUACUUAUUGGGAAGGUACCUCUAGGAGGUAGCACCCCUCUAAGCCCUAAAAAGGUCUCUACUGACUAAGUUAAGGGAAGCGUGGCAAUUAAAUGGUUGAUCAUGGAUACCUAAGUAGGCUAGGUGAUUCCAAAAACAUAACAUAUCAAACAAGAUCAAAUCACAAUUAAGGAGAGUUAAAAAUGCGUACCUGGACGGCUUCCCAAACGCUAUCAUAAAACAUAAGAGAUUAGUUUGGAGAUACAUCACACAACAUUUGUUUUACUCAAGCAAAUCAGGCAUAUAUCAAGACAUUCAAGAAUCACGUCAAAUAUGGAUAUGGUCAUCAAUGACAUACAAGUCCAUAGAAUUCUCGAAAAAAGGAUGAAAAUGAGCGUACCUGGAUAGCAAGCUAGAGCGCCUUUAUGGGAAACAAGGUUAACCCAAUAACAAAUUCAAGCAUAUCUCCAAGAAGAAUCAAAAUCAAUUGAAUACCAAAAAAUCAUCUUUAAAAUCAAUAUUAGUGAAGAUAUUAGGAAUGUAGGACCCCCCACCAAAGUCCAUAUUACUUUUGCACGAAUUGAUUCAAUGAAUUCCAUUAUUUGGAAUCGUGAAGCUUAUUCAUGCUUGUCAAAAAUCGAGAAAAUCAUAAAAUAGUUGAAGAUGAUGAAAAUGCAUGCCGGAAGGGAAAAUGGCAGCAAAUAGUAUGUUAAAAUUUGGAUUUUAUGCCUAGAGACUUCUCAGGAAUUUUAAAUAAAACUAGAAUUAUUUUUUACGGGAAAAGAUUUUGAAAUCCAGAUUUAAAAUGUGUAAGAUAACAAAAAGAAUAAGGAGAAACAUUAGGAGUAUGGUGUGUGGCAAGGUGACCACUAUAUGAGUGAGGUCUGGAGGUGCACUUGAGACUAAAUGGUUGAAACAGAUUGCAUAGGGAGCAUUCUGUACACCACUAGUUGUCUAGAAAGAAACUGAAUGUGUUCGUUUCCGAGCCCAUGUUCACCGGAGUUUAGGGUGCCACCUCAUUUAAAAAAAAGGGCUUCAAUACAACUCUAGUUUCUCAAGAUCACAAUCUGAAUUAUCAACAGAAGCUUCUGGUGAAGACAUAAUGCUCAAUUUCAGAUUAAAUUUCCUGUUCUAUAACUCGUUUUCUCUGAAUUUUCCUUUAAUGUCUGUGCUUUCUGAUCAUAUAAGUUGCCCGUCUGGUUCCUUGUUUGAGACUCUGCCGAACCUGGAAUAAUGCUUCUAGGUCUAGCUGAGGGGACCUACACCCCUUUUCAUGGAACCUGAGGCAUGCGUUAAUUCGAAACUCUAUUACUUUGCCUUCCAUUGCUUUAAGUCUUUUAGCCAUCUCAGCCACAAAUCUGGAGAUUCAUUUAUCUUUCUUUAAUAUUCAAGCCAAAUGUCAAUCCAGUCCGCUUAAACCCCGAUUUGAAUGAUUUUGAACCCUCUUUUUGCGCUCUUGAUGUUUUUCAUUUCAACUACAAUGACAAACCACCCUUCGAAAAAAGAAGAAAUCUGGACCAAAUCCUAAACUUUUAAUUCACAACUUCUUGAGCCUGACUCUGAGUCGACACAAUUGAAUCACCUUGGAUAAGAGUGCUUCUAAAAAUCCUCCAGAAUGUAGGCACAAGUGCAGCGUUCGUUAAUAAUGUCCAUGGCAUGUCACAAAGGAAAGCUUCUUUUUUUAUAAUCAUCAACGCAAAUUGACUCUUAAUGGACCCCAUUGCCAGCGUCACAUCAAAGACUGGACAGAUAGGGAGAUUCACAAUUUCGAUAGCUAUCUUUGCAUUAUUUGGGCAGGGCAACCAUGUUAUGGAUAUAUAGCUCGAAGGUGACUUGCGUUUUGUUCUGUAUCAUCAGUAGCAGCCUCAAACCCGCCAUAGGUUUGAGUGGUAUUAAAAGACUCAACAUGAUCAGCUGUAGGUGAUCGAGCAGCCAAUUCAUCAUUGAGCAAAUCAAUAAAAGCUUGGAUAUCGUUGCCGAGUGGCCUAAAAUCAUUAGAUAAAUCAUUAAAGUCAUUAAGUAUAUUACUGAUCUCCAUGAAAACCCUCCUCCUUGCUUCUGUAGAGCGAACACAAGCUGCCACUAAAAUUGGUUAGCCCGGAUUGCUAAUUUAUGCAUCCAAUCACCAUCGAUUUCUCUUGUCCUUUUUGGAACUUCUGGAAUAUGGAUGAAACCUGUGAAGAAUGUGGUGGAAUUGCGGUCUGCAAGCACGAAGUUUCCAGUUACUUGAAAUGCUUCGAAAUCAUGGUUCCAGUUUACAUCUACAGGCAUUGGCUCAAGUAAGUUCGUAUCAGCUUGGGUGGCUUUCGAUUCCAAAAGCUCUAACAACAACAUGAUUCUCAAAUAUCCGAACAGCAAUGUCCAAAAUUGAAUCAAGAAAAUUCUUUAGCAGCAGUAUGUGUUGUCCCUGCUGGAGCCAUCACAGGAGCAACUAAGCUAACUGCCAAAAAGGUUCUAGCCAGUGAGAUCCCAUUCUGACGUUUCGGUUUUGGUGACUGAUAGCUUUCUAAUUGUCCCUGCAAAUAAUGUAAACCAAUAGUUCCAUUGAAUGGAUUGUCAUCCAGAGCAAGGAUCCGAAUACUUGUAAGGCCAUCAACGAAAUCAGCGAGGGUGGUGUCGACUUCGUUGUAAUCGAAGAAGGCGAGUUGCAAUUCAGACAAUCUGCGAGAAGAAGGCAAUUUUCCAUUGAAGUGGUUCAUCUGAAACCCCAAAUUGCAGAGCAUUGAAAGCUGGUUGAAGUUUUGAGGGAGAGGUCCCUUUAAUCCCAAUCCCUUAACUUGAAUCUGUGUAACUCUGUCACCACUAUAAAAUACACGAGGCCACAAAUUUGACUCCACCCGUUGGCUCCUUUCCUUCAUUCAUUCGCUUUAACAAGUCACAUUUAAUUCCAAAGAAUAUUAUAUAAUCUUCAAGUAUGUUCAAAUCAGAGGGCUCUAGUCCGUUAACCUUUACACUCUCUAGCAGGUUCUGUUCUUGUCUCUUCCUAUUAUACAGAAGUUCAAGCAAGUUUCAUAAAGCCUGAAUUUCUACACGUAGCCACUACUGGGGUCAGGUUUAUCCAAGUGUGCUGCUCCAACAGAAUUAUCGAUGUGUCAGUUUCUCUAAAAAUCACCUUGUGAAUCAAUCCACAAUACCGAGGCAUCCCAUCAUCAGAACUUCCUAAGCUUUCAGCAAGUAGGCAAGCAUUUAUGCUUGAGUCAACUCUACCGAUGACAACAAACCCAUCCAAAUCAAACUUCAUAGCUGUUUCUUCUUUUCCAUUAAUAUCAACUGGUAUCCUUUCUAAAAGAAUGCUUUUCUUAUGACGACAUGACAGUAAAACCCUUUUGCGAGAAUGGCUCAGAGUUUUGAUCAUCAUCUGAUUCUAUUGUAUUACUGGAAUGAUUGCUUUGGUAAAUGGAAUUCAACAGAAUCCACACAUUCAUGACUCUAAAAUUCAGCUUACUAGCAACCAGAUGGAACACACAUUUUCUGGUUCAGGCAUUCGUUUCUGGUCAGAUUCAUGGUAUCUUAGCGGUGCAACAGACGAUGCAGCAACCUCUUCUAGAGUGCCUUUUAUGAGCCUCAAGAGCAAAGGCCAAUGAUAGAUGAAGCGGUCCCUCUGCACUACUUGGGCUUCUGAUUCAGAAGUUAUCAUGAAGCCAACGAACAAGCAGAGUGAACGCAUUUGCAGUCAACCUUAAAAUUUCUAAUAUUGUCAGCAGGCCUGAUGGUAAAAAAACGAAAGUAGGGGAGCCUUAUUCAAGAGGAUCAUUGCGAACACUGUCACGUGUUAUUGGUGAGCUUGUUGGCAUCUUGUUUUGGGCAGAAUAAUGAGAUCCUUCAGUUAAUUAGAGAUCCAUAUCAACUAAACACCAGAAUCAUGGAUUUCCCAUGCUUUCUACUGGACAACGAUUGUCAGUUCUUUCUCUUGUUCACUUCUACUGGCAGUGGCUUGACUCUCCAACAAAACCCCUGAUGCACCCUGUAGCUCCUCAUUUAAUUCUGGAUUCUUAUCAGCAUCGCUUUCUUCUCCCUUUUGAGACUCUUGGAGUAUGAAAAAGAAAACUUGUGAAGAAUAAGGUGGAAUAUCCCAGCAAUGCAGUAUGGUAGGACCCAUUUGAGGGGGAACCCUGCAUUCAUCACUCUCACCUCCAGUAGCAUUAGAUGCUUGCUGGACCCAAUUCAGCCAGUCUCUGCAUAUUGACUCUCAAUAUAAACGUUUAGAAAUAACAAUGACUUCAUUUCUACUGCCUUGUUUAGACCUUCCUUGAUCAAUGUCUACCUUCAUUUCUCACAAAUUCUGGUUCUACUAUUAAAGUUCUGCCCCCAGUCCGUUUUGCAAAGCAUAAGCUAAUUUUAUAUUUGUAUAAUUCCAUCUUAACACACAAGUCCGUCGUAGCCUUUCCUGAGAAGUUAGAGAAGUUGCUUUUCUGAUAUAAAAAAGCCUUUCAGAACCAUGCUGAAGCUCUGAAUGUUGAUAGUUUUCCAUUGCAACUGAUAUGAGCUCCUCAUCGGUAGUGUCACAAGAAUGAUUCCAUGAGAAGUUUCUUGUUGCAUCACCUUUUUUAUGUAUUCCAACCCCAACUGUUGAGUUUCUUGAAAUUGAAACUACGGAACUUAGUUAUUUUGAAUUGUUUGCAUCUGUAGUGAUAAAUCACUGGAAGAGACAAUCAUAAUUUAGGCACUUGAUUUCCGUUUCGGUCGAACUAACAGCUUCGUAACUGUUAAUCUCAAGGUCAGAUUCAUGCUCUUGUUUCUCAAUUUCCUCUUCCCAUGAGAAUUUUUUUCAUAACAAUCGAAUGAAUUCUUAUAACUCCCAAAAGUUUCUAGCUUUUGCUGAUCAUGGAGGUGCCUCACAAUACUUGUCAUUAUACUCACUUUGGAAUUUUUCUGGUCCAUGUUCACUUUGAAUGAAUGUAUCCCUAAAGGGGGUAUUCAAUGACUGCCCAUAAUGAGUUACAAGUUCCCCAAAAUAGAAUAUAAUGAUCGUCGGCCUUACAGUACUGCUGUUUUAAAAUUUUCUGCUCGCUGAACAGUCAUAGUUCAAACCAUCAAUAUCAAAAGGCUUUCCCAGGCACUCAUCUUCAGAACCAUAAGGCCAGCAAGUCUGCAACCGUUUGAGUUGGGUAAAAAAGAAAGUCCUAAGCAGUGGAAGUGCACAGCAUGAUGCUGUCAAGUUUCAAUAACUUAAAUAUUGGCCAACUUAAGCCAGACCAUAUUCCUCAAAAAUCCAUUCUUCCUCUGCUCAUGUAAACUUGUAAUGCUGUCAGAAAUCCUGUCUUCAGAAUAGCAACCCUGACAAUUGAGUAUGGAAAGCAGAAUACCCAUGUGCUUCCAACUAAGCUUUUUACAACCAUCCUCAUAAACUGAGGCGUGCCAUUCUAAAGAAAAGGCAGAGUCUUUUAGAAAUCACAAUACUUCUGAAGCAGCUUGAAUUAGCAUAUUGCAGUAAUUGGAAGUCGGAUUGACUGAAACAGGGGCUCGAACGCAUCCAUCUGUAAAUCUUACAGACCGACCACCCUCAGAGAAAAGGUCUCCAAAAAAAAGGCUUCAGCUUCAUGACAAACAGCAUUCUCUGUUUCAGAGUUGCAACUGCCCCUGUUAUACUACUCCUGUGCACUUCAGCAUUUAUUCUUUAGUUAUACCGUCCCUUUAGAUAGCAUCUAUCCCACACCGUGAAGCAAGCAAGGUUCACUAUAAUAGGAUCUAGUAGCAGCAACAAACGGGUGAUCCUGGAGAUAUUUUAAACUCAACUUCAUCAACAUCUUCAGCGUGCACUUCUGUUGGAACACAAGCGAUAGUAGCAGUGAAAAAAAAAGUGUUGUACUGAUCCCGUUAGGAUUGCAGCCCAGAAUACCACGAACAGAGAGCCCCAAAAAUUGAAGCAACUCUGCAUCCAACUAAAUCACAUCUAGAACCCGGUUUAACGACUUUCUUGUCUUGAAGAGGAAAUACCCAAUCUGACUCAACAAUCUGUUAUCAUGUGCCAAACCCCACAAACAGCCCACAUUCUACGCAGCCUUUAUAAAGUCUCUACCUUUCAUGAAAUACUCAUGCCAUCAUUGUCUCCAUAGCCCAGAACACCAAAGUAAAGAAGAGGAAGAAGCGUAGAUAUAGAAGCACAAAAAAAGAAACCGAACAAAGAAAGAAAAAAAAAAAAAAAAAACGAAAACAGGGGAAUGGAAGGCAAUGGGUGGGAAAUCUGAAUAAGUCACAUUUCAUUAUUUUCAAAAGGGCUUUGAAGAAUCUGAACACAUUAGGACAAGCUUAGUUAAAAUUAUAUCAGGAUUCCACAAACAUUAAAAUUCAAACAUAAGUCUCUGUUUCAGCUAUUUAUAAAAAGAAUCAAAGAAAUCAAGAACACAAUCAUAAUAGAGCAAGUUUGAAGGAAAUUUCGAUUCAACAACGCAAAUAAAUGGCCCUCAAUGUCCACUCCAAUCAGCAAGAACAACUUCCCGAAAACAGCCAGAGAAUCUCAAGUGAAUGUAAACGGGAAUACCAAAAUAAUAAAAAAAAUAACAGGAAGCGUACCUGGCAGAACCUUGGCUGCAAUCUCCCUCUCUUUCUGCUCUUCUCUCCGCACUUUUUCUUCAAGAUCUCUCUUUUUCUCCUUUUUCUCCUUUCUUUCUUUUCUUUCCUUCUUCCUUUUCUUUCCUUCUCCCUCUCAAGCCCAAAAAUCCUAUCUCUCCCUCCGGAUCUCUCCAAAAAAAAAUCCCCAUGCGUGCUGCCAGUCCCACUUUUCAAAAAGAAAACAUCUUGCUGAAAAGGAAAAUCCUACUUCCUUUUCUCCUUUCUUUCCUUUCUUUCUUUUCUUUCCUUCUUCCUUUUCUUUCCUUCUUGUAGCCGAUCCCCACAUGGAAGAAGUAUAUGUGCUGUCCCUCUAAAAAUCAAAAUCUCCUCUUUUCAAAAUUCCGUUGAUUUUCCUUCCAAAUAAAUGGCGGUUCGUUUCCUCAUGCCCAAAAAAUAAAUAAAAUAAAAAAAUAAAAAUAAAAAAAAUAAAAAAUAAAAAAUUAAAAAAAUUAAAAACAAAAAUAAAAAAAAAUCAAUCACAUGCAAGCCAUACGAGCUAUGUAACCACCAAAGGAAUAUGAGUUAUGCAACCAUGCAAAAACACGAGCCAUGCAACCAUGCAAACCAUGCAAAAACAUCUAAAGGUGACCUAGGGUGUGUCCUAGUGCGCUAGGGCAAACGAAAUGGACUAAGUGUGCUUAAAAGCUAUCCUAAAAAAAAGAAAAGCCUACGACUAAGUUAGGGCUGCCAAGGGUCACAAUAAGGGAUCAAAUAAUCCCUCAACCAAAAUCUCCGAGGUGACUCAGAAAAAGGUUAGUGGUAUGAGUAGCCAUGGGCCACCAAGGAACUAUGGGGCACUGAAAACGAAUUUAAAGACAUGUGCUAAAGGGACAAAAUUGAGGGUCUACACCCUCUUCAGUUCUGUUGAAGAUUAUCAAAGAUACAAGCAAAAAUUCUCCCAGAGGAAACUAGGGAGAAAUAUCAAUUUCUCCCAACUUUAGUACUUCGGGUUUGAGGGACUCUUUAGUCGGAUGGGAUAACUGCCAGUUGUGAUGAUUUUCGAGCCGAUCUUCCUGACUCUGGUGCGGGCAUUUUAUUCAUAGGUGACUUAUGGACUUGGAGGACCAGUCAUGUCCACUAUUAGAGGUGUUGAGAUCAGACUGAGCCCGGAGAGCAUUUUCCGCAUUCUCGACAUUCCUUUAGUUGGACUCCGGGUGUAUGAGUCCAAGGUUUGGCCCACUGUGCCGGGAUUCGAGCCUAGAGAGGCUAUUCAGAGGCUGUGCGGACUUGUAGAUGCUGAGGGGAUGGACAAACCAUCGGCACAUAGCCUGACCGUGACCAGCCAAGUCCUUCAUCACAUGAUUUGCUCCUAUUGCCACAAGGCGGGUAUCGAGAUGAGAUUUCCUACCUGGAUGCUUUCAUAGUGGACACCAUUCUAAUGGGGAGAUGGAUUCAUGUAGGGUAUUUGAUGAUGAUGCAUAUGAUAUCCUACUAUGAGAGCACGACCCGAGUACUCCCCUACAGACGCUUCCUCACUCGAGUAUUCAAGGAUGUCGGGGUCGAUUUGAGUAGAGAGACGAACUUCGAGGCCCUUACUAGCUAUGAUACUUACGAUGAGCAGUCCUUGGAGCGGAUAAAGUUUGAGAAGGCCCUCGAUGGCUCCUGGAUUAGGAGAGUUGAGCGAGCUCCAGCAUAGGCCCGGGGACAAGGAUAGAUGCAUCCCGGAGUAGAGGAGGAGGCUGAGAUCAAAGAGAUGGAGGAUGGGUUAGACCCAAGGAUUGAAAUAUCGAUAAAUAUGGAUAUAUCGGUACUUGGAUUUUACGGAUAUAUCGGAAAUAUCGGAGAAAUAUCAAUGGAUAUUUUUCAUCAAAUAUCGGUGAGACAAAAAUUAUCCAAAAUUGAUGGGAAUGCUUAGAAAAAUCCAAAGAAUGAUAAAAUAAGCAAGAAUAUACAUGUUAAAGUUAUUUUAUGAGUGUAAUUGACAUAAAUAUGGUAUAAAAAAAAUAUAUAUCGGUAAACAGUUUACGAUACUUGGAUUUUAAGAAAAGAAAAUAUGAAAUUUGGAAUUGUACACUUAAAAAGUUAGAAUUGAGUUAAGAAAUAUUUGAUUUUAUUAAAUGAAAAAAAUUUACACAUAAACAUAAUACAUAUGACAUUGCAAUGGUCCUUAAUACCAAAAUGAAGAUCGAUGUGGUUCCAUCAUAUUGUUAUUGUUAGAUGAAGGGAGCCCAUCUUGUUGAAGACAAUAUUCAUACCAGGACAUGGAGUUUCGAUAGUAUUGAUUGUAUGUACUAACAUGCCAUGCAUAAAUUUCUUGAGUCCUACCGACAACCUGUCCAUGGAUGGGAAAUCCAGGGUUUUCCCAUGUGCUCGUUUGAAAUCCUUGUUGUUGCAGCUGAUGUAGAAGGUAGUAUGGAAUUUGUGUGGAAGAAUGAUAGUUAUACCUUUCAUACUCUUCAUCAGUGGAACUUGAAAGAUUUUGAGGAGGCUGACCAUAACUCAUUGCAUAAGGGGCAUAAAUGUUGGCUUCAUUUGAUGAAUCACUUAAUUGAGUCUCUACACUCAUCGACUCAAAACUGGCCGACAAUGAGUCCUCGUUGUAUGGCAUCAUCCUUCGUUGUCUUCCUCUAUAUGGCUUUCCAAUGGCUCCAACACCUGGACCGGCUCUUCUAGAGCCGUGGUCUUCAUCUUGAGUACAAUGUGUGAAAUCAUCUUCACUAAUAAAUGCCAAUGGUUGUCCACUUUGUUGAUGUUGUCUAACAUCCCCUUCAUCAUUUUCAGGGUCGCUACCAUCAUUGGUCCCCUCUCCUCUUGAAUCAUCAUAACCGGAAGCGGAAGUACCAGUAGCACUAGGUCUACUACUAUGUUCAACACUCGUGGGGUCAAAAGAAGGUCGAGAAGUGACUACCAGCUGAGAAAUUCCUUGUCGAAAUGAAUCUUUCGUGUCUUGGUUGAAACUAUCAAUAUGAACUUCUUCGGAUAACACUUGAUCAACAUCAACACCUGCUUCUCGGACAUGUGCGGCAAUUCGUGGGUCGAGAUUUCCAUCUUCAUCAUCUAAAUGAAGAGGUCUAACCCAUUGAAACAAUUGGUUAUCUUCUUCUUCACCAGCCUCAGUUGCAAUAUCAAGUAAAUCAAGGUAAUCUUUCUCUGAAACUUUGUCAUGUUCUGCUUCCAUGUCACGUAUCUUUAGUUUCAUGUUAUAAUAAUAGAAAACUAAUUGUUAGAGCAUCGGGUAAGCAAGCUGAUUUCUUUGUUUUGUAUGAAUUAUGGAAAACAUGCUCCAAUUUCUCUCACAAGCUGAAGAUGAUGCAGUUUGCGAUAAAACCUUGAUGACCAACCUUCUUAAUGUAGGAGUGUGAUUUCCAUACAUGAACCACCAUUCAACUACAACCAAAUAAAUGAUAUCAAUACUUAUAUUGGAAAGCUAUAAUAAUAUGCUAAUGAAAUGAAUUAUUAAUUCACAAAUAAUACUCACCGAGAACCAUUUCUAACCUCGAAGCAAUCACUGUUUGAUCACCGAAUCCUCUUUUUGCAUCUCGGAAUAGUAUAAUCUACAUAUUAAAUAAUUGAAAGUGAAAAAGUUGAGUAAAUGAAAUUAAAUUAUUUAAUUUAUAUUAUAACUCUAAUAAUUUACCUCAUUUCCAAAUUGACUAAAACCUUCUGAUGUAGGAUCUAAUUUCGCAAAGACUUCAUGGACAACUUGAAGUAGAUCAGGAUCAGUACCAACUCCAUGUUUAUAUUGAAAUCUUGGAUUAAGAAAGAAUGCUACAAUAGUAAAAUAGAAAUGUAAAAUUAGAAUGUUAUGAAAGAAACAUAUUAAAUACCAAUAAAUUUCAAAGAUGAAUAAUACUUACCUGCUGCAUGAAAAGGAUGUUUAAAAGUUCUAUCCCAACGAUAUGCAAUUAUUUCUAACACCCAUUCUUUAGCAUUAAGUCGAAUAAGGUUCUCUUUCAUAACUCGAAUCAAUUCGUACACAAAUGGCAUUGUAGGAACAACUUCUGAAUCGACAAUGCGAAGAACUGUGUAUAGCGCCUCAUAUAUUGACACUAGCUUUCCCACUCUUUCCUAGUAUGCAUGGUCAAACAUAAGUGAUUCAACUUCUUUGCCGAUUAAUGUGCAACUUAAGUUGUGUUGUGCCCAUUCAUCACUGAUAAAUAUUUUCUUCAAGUUUAUUUUCUUUUUCAAAAGACUGUCGAAGGCUAUAUAAUUGGUUGCAAAUCUUGUUGCUCCAGGACGAACUAUGUCUCCACCACACACCUUCCGCAUCUGGGUAAGCAACCAACCAUGGUUAUAAAUGAAGUUGGUUAUCUUUCGAGCCUUUGUAAUCACAUCUGCAACACUCGUCCUUUUACCGAUAUCUUCGAACAUUAAGUCGAUGCAAUGUGCUGCACAUGGAGUCCAAUAAAGAUUGUAUUUCUUCAUUAACAACUUCCCCGCCUUCAUGAAUGCCGACCCAUUAUCUGUAACUAUUUGGACCACAUUUUGUUUGCCAAAUUCCUUGAUCACAUCCUUCAACAAACCAUAUAUGUAUUUGUUGUCCUUUAUAUUAUUUGAUACAUCAACAUAUUUGAGGAAGAUUGUGCUACCUUUUGAAUAUACCAUGAAAUUAAUUAUGCUUAAUUUCGUGGGCCCAGUCCAUCCGUCAGACAUAAUCGUGCAUCCAUAAGUCUUCCACUUUUCUCUUUGAAUAUUGACAUAAGCUUCUAUGUCUUUGUACUCCAUAUCCAAAUACUCGUGUUUGAUUUCAUAAGGAGACGGUGGUUUUAUACCCAUACCUACCAUCCAUAUAUAAUUAAAGCAUAUAAGAACAUUUGUGGCAAUCAUACUAUAUAAAUAGUAAUGAUAUUGUUAAAAUGAAUACAACUUUUAAAAUUAUAGUAAUUACCUGCUUGUUGUGCACCAACAAUCAUGUUCUUGAAGUGGUGAGAGUCUGUUUUACUGGGCGGAACACUCUCAUAUAUGAAGAACUUACUGAUCAAACGUCCCAUGGUUUCCUUGAUGGCACCACCUUUGAAAAUAUUUUUCAUAUUUUUAUGUCUUGCUACUGAAGAUUUGUACAAUGAGGGUGCAUCAGGCAGUGAUGGAUCUAAAUAUCGAACACUUUGCGAUUUUCGCAUUUGCCUUGUUGUUGGAUUGGUUGGAUGUGAAGACUUGCCUAUUAUAAUUAUUAAAAUUAAACAUAUAUGCUAAUUUAAUAUUAUUGAUAAAGUUGAUAAGAAAUAGUAAUAAUUCAAAUUAAUAUUAUACCUGUUUUUAUUUUGUCUUUUAUAAAAUGUUCUUCUUAUUGUCGAUUCCAUUCAGCAGCUUUUGAUGCUCGAACCGCCUCUCUAUAAGCAUGUCGCUCACCAAGGUGCAUGUCAGCCAGAUACAUAUACACAUCAUCAUCUCCAUCAUCAUCAUCACCACCAAGGUUCUCCUCAUCGUCCUCAUCAGUUACAUGCUUAUGUCUUAUUCCCAUUGUGUCUCGCAGUUCAGAUCGAAUCUCUUCUAUAUCUGUAGCUUUCUUCGCUUUUGCCUUAUUUUUUUGCUCUAGAAGUCGUCUUAUUUAUUGUUUCACUUCUGGAGGCAUGUUAGGACACUUUUUUGUAUUUGAAUUAGGGUCUGUAUGUGAUAGGUGAAAUUUAAAACGAGUAAUCCCACCACUCUUUAUUGCCAACCCACAGUAAUUGCAUACUGUUCCAUUUUUGUCCCCUUCCAUAGGUGUACAAUAUUUCCAACAAGGAUCUCGACCCAUGAUACCGCUUUCACUAGCCAUUUUCUAAAAUUGAAUUAUGAAACUAAUAUCAAAUUUAAAAUUAUUAAAGAUAAAACAUGUAAGAAAUUUAAUAUUCAUGAAAUUGAUAAGAACUAAUAAAAAUUGAAAUUAAAAUUAAAUUAUGCAUAUAUGAAAUAGAUAAACAUUACAAUAAAAUUUCAAUAUGAAUUAAAUUUAAAUUAAAUUAAAUUAAAUUUGUAUAUUCAUGAAAUUGAUAAGAAUCAUUACUAAUAAAAAUUAAAAUUAAAAUUGAAUUAUGCAUAUAUGAAAUAGAUAAACAUUACAAUAAAAUUUCAAUAUGAAUUAAAUUAAAUUAAAUUUGCAUAUUCAUGAAAUUGAUAAGAAUCAUUACUAAUAAAAAUUAAAAUUAAAAUUGAAUUAUGCAUAUAUUAAAUAGAUAAACAUUACAAUAAAAUUUCAAUAUGAAUUAAAUUUAAAUUAAAUUAAAUUAAAUUAAAUUUGCAUAUUCAUGAAAUUGAUAAGAAUCAUUACUAAUAAAAAUUAAAAUUAAAAUUGAAUUAUGCAUAUAUGAAAUAGAUAGACAUUACAAUAAAAUUUUGAUAAGAAUUAAAUUAAAUUAAAUUUGCAUAUUCAUGAAAUUGAUAAGAAUCAUUACUAAUAAAAAUUAAAAUUGAAUUAUGCAUAUAUGAAAUAGAUAAACAUUACAAUUACAUUUCCAUAUGAAUUAGAUAAUAUCAAUUAAACUAUUGUAGACCCCCCUCUUUUGGUCUCGUUUCUUUUUUUUUCCUCUACAUAUAUUAUGUUUGUUUUAGCCAUUGCGGAAGCACCUGGAAGAGGUGUUAGUGCCUUGAACAAGUGGGGGGACCUGGCUGUUUGGAGAGAUGAGCUGCGUGGAACACGUGGUGGAGCAGUUGGCCACAGCCAUGGUGGUGGUUGGGGCUCCAGUUUGCUGAGCAGAGGAACAGUAUAGUAGCUGAUGGCUUGCAGGAAAAGCUUUGACGGAGAAGGAGGACAGAGGAUUUUUAAGAGGAUCCUUUUGAGAGUGCUGGCAGGGGGGGAUCUUGGAGGGAAAGGGAAGAGGAGAAGUAAGUUUUGAGGAGAAAGGGGCUUUCAGGUAUGGCCAUUUAUGAUUUUUCCCGAAUAUUCUGAUCUUUCAUAUCUUUCCCAUCUUACUCUCCAUGAUUCCAGUUUUGCUUGAUGAGUUGUUUUGUUUUGAUGAUUGUUGGUUUAACAUUAAAAAAGAUGGCUGUUUUUUUUGUGUUUUACCCGUGCAAACCUCUUCCAACUUAACCCUUUGAUCGUUAAGCUCAUGGAUGAAAGAAUGAAACGAAGUUAGCACAUUCAUCAAAAGGUUCCCUGCUAUGUUUCUCCAUUUGUUCCCUUUGCUUGAGUAUGUGAGUAUUGAUGCUAAUAGUAGCAAGGUCCCAGCCAACUUUGUACAAUAGAGCUCAGAUGUUGCUCUAGGGGUUCAUGAUCAUCCUGUCAAGUGCCUAGGAGCAAAUGAUGCCCUUGAGCUUACGUUUCUAAGUCGUGUUCUCCCUACCAAGCUGGAUACCCUCCUUGCUAAGGACGGGGGGACGAAACCUAUUAACAGCCGAAACCCAAUGAUAAGAUCCAAGUCACUGUCGAGUAUCUCAAUGAGAAGGAUGCCAUGGUUCUUUCUUCGUGUACAUGUUGUUCCCAUCUCCACCCAAGUUGACUAAACUGUCAUCAGUGAUGAGAUUGCUGCCUACACUAAAUAAUACAUCAUCCAGCCGGUUAUUCAUGAGAAACAUUAAGAUGAGAAGUCCACCUUCCAACACCCAUUAAGCCACUCUUCACACCCAUCUUCUCUCAUUAACAUCCUCAUACCCCUCCCACCACUUCGUGAUUCAUAUCCCCAUCAUCCCCAGCCGUCCAUGCUAUCAAUAAUAUCCCCACUUAUCUUCAUACCCAUUUGUUCCACUAUUCGGAAUCCCCAUGCAUGCGAAACUGGACGCGGAAGCCAUGAUAGCAGAGAUUGUGAUGAAGAACGUGGAAUGCGGUACCCUGUUGCAUGAAGUGAGCAUGGUGGAGCGGCGGUUUGAGGAGUCGACGAGGAAGAUAGAGCUGUAGAAGAGCUUGCUGGAGGUGUUGGAGUUGGAGAGGACGAUAUUGCUGAAUGAUAACGUGCGGCUGGGGCGCGAGAUGAGUGCGCUGAUUGAGGAGAACAAGGGGCUGUGGAGGUCCCGGCUCCUGCUCCGACGCUGGAGGCGCUGAGUCCUCCAGCACCGCCGGCCGAAGCUCCUAGGCCACAGCUAGAUGCGAUCCCAUCCAUCUCCAUCUCUGCCAGGUGAGAGUAGGGCAGAGAAGAUCACGUGCGUGAGGUAGAGGGUAGAAAUGGAUAAAGGGCAUAGAAAAUGGGCUACAGCAAUGCAUGGAAUUGUUUGAUAAAAGAAAAGAGAAAUGGGUUUGUUGACACGUGAAAGAACUAUGCACUUUAAAAAAACUCUCCCUGUUUGUUUUACAUAUUCUCAAACAAUGCUUAAAAAUCCCUUAAAAUUUUAAAGUUAAAAAUUUAUUCACUUAUUCAUGUUUUUCUAUUCACUUCAAAUUCUCGAAACUCAAUCCUAAAAUUUAAUUUCUUCAAAGUUCAAUCUCCAAAAUAACUUUUUUUUUAGGUUCUAAUUUUAACUUUAAUUCUCCAAAGAUCCAAAAUUUUAAAUUUAACUUUCCAAAAAUCCCACAAUUCCGAAUUUAAUUUUAGGUCUUGUAAAUUAGUAUUAUUAUCCCAUAUUUAUUUAUUUAAAGUCCAAUCCUUCAAAAAUCUCAUUAUUAUUAUUAUUAUUACUUCAACUUUCGAAAUCAAUUUAUUCUUAUUAUUAUUAUCAUUAAUCCAAACUUUCAAAAUCCUAUUAUUAUUAUUAUUAACCCAACUCUCAAAAUAUUAUUAUUAUUAUUAUUAUUAUUAUCAUUAAUUCAGACUUUCGAAAUCUUAUUAUCAUUAUUAUUAAUUCAACUUGCAAAACCUUAUUAUUAUUAUUAUCAUUUCAAAACCUUAUCAUUAUUAUUAUUAUUAUGAUUAUCAUUAUUAUUAAUUUAACUUUUAAAAUAUUAUUAUUACUGUUUUUAUUAAUUCAACUUUUAAAAUCUUAUUAUUAUUAUUAUUACUAAUUCAAUUUUCAAAAUCUUAUUAUUGUUAUUAUUAUUAUUAUUGUUAAUUCAACUUUCAAAAUCUUAUUAUUAUUAUUAUUAUUAUCAUUAUUAACCUAUUAUCAUUAUUAUUAUUAUUAUUACUAUUACUAUUAUUAUUAUUAUUAUCAUUAUUAUUAAUUCAAUUCCCCAAAUCUUAUUAUUAUUAUUAUUAUUAAUUCAACUGUCAAAAUCUAUAUUCCCGUAGUUUAAUUUCUCAAAGUUCAUUUCUUAUCAUUACUGUUAUUAUUAAUUCAAUUUUCAAAAUCUAUAUUCUCGCAGUUUAAUUUCUCAAAGUUCAUUUCUUAUCAUUACUAUUAUUAUUAAUUCAGCUUUCAAAAUCCAUAUUCUCGCAGAUCAAUUUCCUAAAGUUCAUCUCUCAUUUUCUUUGACGAAUUUCAAUUUAAUUACCGAAGCUCUAAUCUUUCAAAGUUAAUUCCAAAUACUUCAAUUUUCAAAUAAAGUCUAAUAAUCCAGUUUUCACUCGAAUGGUUUUAAUCCCAUUUCAGUCCCUAAAUAAUCUUCUGGUAUUCUUGAUUUUAUAUAAGCAAUAGUGAAUUCUUCAUAAUUCUAAAACACGGAAUUUGUGAGACUGGUUCAUGAAUAAUAAAUUGGGUUUUGGUGGGAGGCACUAUGUUUGAUCCCUAUUGAUUGUCAACUGUUGUGCUUAAUGUAUUUUUGCUUGAUCUUCAUUUUGCACCCUGAUAUGCAUGAGUUAUAAUUUGUAUUCAUUAAUUAUGCACUAAUCCUGUUUCUUGAUAGCAAAUUGCUGUUUGCUACCCAGGUACGCAUUCACUCAUUCUGAUCAUUCACUAUACGUAUUCUGAUUCUCAUAUAUGCAUGAUUAAUGUGAGUAUCCAUUGACUUUCUUAUUCGAUUGCCACGUCAGUUUCACUUUAUUAGUAGAGACCCGACUUUAGGGACUUUGAGGGGUGCUAUGGUCUCUACCGUACCUUCCCGAUAAGUAACCUGACCCUCGAACCCGAUCCGGUUUUUCACAGACCACCUUUUCCAAAACAAGGAGUCGCACUUAGGGUUUUUCUUUCUUAUUUUGUUUACCCUUUAAAAAUAAAACAAAAAUAAGUGGCGACUCCAAGUCAUUUUCAAAUAAUCAAUAAAAAUCAAGUUUUCAAAUAAAAAUCGAGUUCGUCAUCGAGUGGGAAACGCAUUGAGCCGAAAUGCGGGGUCCACAACUAUAUAUAACAAAUAAAAUUGAAUUAUGCAUAAUAAAAUAAAUUUUAUGAAAGGUAAGACAUACCUUAAUUAGCUUUGACUUGGAGUUAAUCCCUUUCACCAACAAAUUUUCAAAAUAAAAAAAUUUUGCUAGAUCAUAUAAGAAUUUUGAUGUAUGAAAUGGAAUGGAAUGUGGGUAUUUAUAGGAAUUUUUUGGUCAAACUACUCGUUGGAUGGUCAAAUAGCCGUUAUAAAUUAAUUUUAACCGUUGGAUCAAAAUUUGGUUCAAAUUUCACCAUUAGAUCUUCAUAUAACCGUUGGAAACACUCCAUAGCCCUUGGAUAAAGUGAAGAUUGAUUUUCCACCAUUGGAUCACAAAUCUGACCAUUGGAGGCCUUUAUAAACACACGGGUGAAAUUUGGGCCAUCAGAUCCUCAAAAAUUCAAAUUUGGCCGUCAGAUCAAAAUCCUUGAAGCUGUAAAAAAAUCACCGAUUAAUCGCGAUUUUCUCGGCAAAAAAUCGUUGAUAUAUCGGUAAAAUAGCUGAUUUUUUGGGCUCCUCCUCCGGCUUCUUCGUGCGUGCCUCUACUCGCGAUUUUUCGUCGAUUUAUCGGUGAAGCACCGAUAUUUGGCCGAUAUAUCGGCGAUUUUGCCGAUUUUUCCGUCGAUUGAUAAUCGGUGACGAUUAUUAUUUCGGUGCCGCCCAAUAUCCGAUAUUUCUCCGAAAUAUCGAUGAUAUAUCCCGAUUUUUCAAUCCCUAGUUAGACCCUUAGAGGGAUUUUAAGUAGAGAGGGCCCGAGCUUGACAUUUCUCCUCCACCUCAUUCAGAUGGUAUUCAUGUUGAGACCACUUUCUUAGAGCCUAUGAUGAUUGAGUCGUCUUACACUACAGGAGCAUCAUCUCAGCCAUCAUUCACCGAGCUUCCUCACACAGAGAUACCAUCUCAGGCACCUCACGCUUCUGAUCAUGCCCCUUGGAUGGAUGUAUCAGCUCAUAUCAGCUUCCUUGGGACUCCUAUGGAGGAGCUUGCUUUAGUCAAUGAUACUCGAUUCUACUCUAUGGAGGAUCACAUAGAUCAGUAUCAGACUGGCUUCACUUCUCGUUUUGAGCACUUCCAGCAGAGAUUUGAGCGUAUAGAGGAGCGUAUGGAUCAACAGCAGGCUACAGUUGAGCAUCUCCAGCAAAGUAUUGAGCGCAUUGAGAGUCGCCAGGCGAGUUAGCAUGAGGAGAUGAUGGCUUACCUCCGCUCCGUGUUUCCAUCUUCACCCCCUCAGCCUUGAGUUUAUCUAGAGUUCCCCCUCAAUUUCUUUUUUAUGUUGCUAAAGGGGGAAAAAUAUCUAGGAUCUAGGAAACCCUCAUGCAUAUCAUUGUCAUAUCUAUCUUGAUUAGCAUAUAUGUUAUGUUUUCGUGUACAUGUGAGGUUACCAUAUAUAUGAUAUGCUAUUUUCAUGAUCCAUUGUUUCCUAUUCAAUUUUUCAUGCUUUACAUUGUUUCCUAUUGAAAAUUGAUUGAUUGAUCCAUGAUUGGUUUGAGGGGGAGAUUUUUUUUCUCUCCUAGAUAACCAAGGUUGGUCAUCAUAAAAAAUGGGGAGAUUGUUAGCCUAAGGGCUCUCCUAAUCGGGUUUUGAUGAUAACAAACCAUGGUUAAAUGACUAAUUGGUUUAAUGGUUAAGAAUCUCAGGCAUAAACUCGAAAAUUCAUCAAAUGACCAAAUGGAUACAAGAUCGAGACAUUUGGAAGACUUGUGAUCAUAGGAAACUAAUGUAAGAUAAAUACAUGAGUGCACUUAGGAUUUUCAUACCGUUUCAUGCAAUUUAGAAAACUCGGUUUAUUUUUUAAAACUUCGAUUUCAUUAAAACCCGAGUUUUAACAAAUGUACCUUAGGCAAAAUGUUUUAAAAUUGGCAUAAUAAUUCACCUAAAAACCUUGCCUAAGUGUUAGAAAAAAAAUGAAUUCAAAAAGAUAGGUUUUUAGGGCCAAAAGGCUCAACCGGUUGGAGAACCAGUCGACCAAUUGCCCUUCUCCGGUCGAGGAAUGCACAAAAUUUUCUCUCUCACAGUAGCCUUCUCUUCCCAGUCGAGGUUAUUCUCUUCCCGAUUGAGAACUGGUCAAGGUCCGGUCGAUGACCGGUCGAGGCAACGGUAUCCUGUCAAGCAUUAAAUGCUCCAACGGCUAGUGAACCGGUUGACCCCUAGUUCGAUCGGUCGAGGUUACCUUUUGCUGUUUUUGGCUCCCGAGCUUAGAAACCUAUAAAUUGAGAGCUCCACUUCAUUUAUUGACGAGAGAACACUUGCAACUAAUUGUCUACCUACCUGUUCUUGAUCAAAAAGCUUUCAUUUCUUUCUUAGUGCAUUAAAUCUUCAAUUGCAUAUCCUUUAGUGCACUCUUGUGUGUCAUCCUAGCUUUGUCUUAUAUUUGAGCUAUCCUUAAGCUAGGUUGAGGGAUUCAUUCUUGUAAAAAUCGAGUGUUAAAGCCUUCAAGAGGUUUAAAUCUUGAAGAGAUUGUGUAAGAGCCCAUUGGAGCCGGAAUCCAAGUGUAAGAAGAUUGGAAGCUUGGUUGAAACUUUAAGUUAGUGGAACCCUCACUCAGUUAGGAGAUUGAGGAGAGUGGACGUAGGCAAGAAAGUGCCGAACCACUAUAAAAUCCGAGUUUGAAUUCUUUAACUCUAUUUCUUUAUUUUGCUUAUAUUUUGCUUGAACUCGUUGUGAUCGAAAAGAAUUUAAAAAAUCCAAUUCACCCCCUUCCCCUCCUUUUGGGUGUUUUUCUUAAUUAAGCAUAGCCUAUAUUUUCUCAUAAAUAAUCUCACAAAAUCCUAGUACAAACUUUAGCCUCAAAUUAUACAAGAUAAACUAGGAUUGAAUGGUGCACUAAUGAUAUGUAAGUUUUAAAACAAUGUGUACUAAAAAACACUCCCCUAAGGCUCAAUUAUAUUCAAGAAAGGUUUAAGAAGGUUAAACUCUUGAAACUAUAAAGAUUGAAGCGUUUUUAUAGAAGAGAAAAGCCAAACUACCUAUUGGGGGUUCGUCUGGUCGAGCUCUGGUUCGACCAGUUCACUAGCCAUUAGCAUUUAAUGUAUGAUAGGUGACCAUUGGGCCUUGACUGGUACUCAAUUGGAUGAAGUUCAACCUUGAUUGAUCGAAUAAGCAUUAUGGAAAAGAGAUAAGGUUUUUGCACCCUUCAACUGAGUAAGUUGAAUAAGUCGACUAAUUCCUCAUUCAAUUCAACCAAUUAAGUCAUUUUUUGCUAAAAAAACCAUCAUUUUCAACUUAAAACCUUUUAAACAAGUUUGGAAAGCAUUUGACAUAAGGUUUUAGUUGAAAACAUGAAAUCAUCCAAUUUUUAAAAGAUUUAAAACAAAAUAACUCUUGAAUGAUUUUAGUGUAUAAGUAAAGAAUGUAAUGCAUGAAAAACCCCAUGCACUAACAACCUUACAAAGAGAUCCUAUGAGGCUUAGGUCUUGAAAAAACACUUAUCUUUAAGGUUUUCUUCUUCUUAUUGAUUUUAUCUUUGUGAUUGCCACUUUGGAAAUCAUCUUGCCUAGUCACACUUAAAAUAUAAUCAUUAGUUCUAAACCUUGUUUUGUUAUCAUCAAAACUAAGAUUAACCAAACCUUGGUUUCACAGUAUGAAUAUUGUAUCUUUAGAUCUAUAGUUAAUAGUGGUUUUUAUAGUCAUAUGUUUCUAUUGUGAUAAAUUUAGAGAUGCCUAGGGAUAGAUGAAUGCACCCUAUGAGAUCUAGUGCAUAUGAAUGGAGUAAUCUGGGGUUCCUAACAUAGUUUAGGCUUGUGCUUCAUAGAGCGAUAACAAUUCUUCAAGCAUAGUUAUGCUUUAGAAAUUUGUUAUUGAUUGGUCCAAUUUUUAGACCAUCUUUAGCAACAAUCUUGUGGGCACCAUUGAUAUAAACUUGUUAUACAAAAUAUGAUCUAUCACAUUUUUGGCAAGAACUUUCCACUAGUUUUGUGCAUGGUAAUGAUCAUGCAUGCAAACUUAACUAAGUUAUACACUAGAUGCCAAACUACUACAAUUCUUAUACACCUUCCCAUUUUGUGCAACCGAACAAUUCAACAUCAUAACACCAAAGUUCUUGCUUAGAUUUCCUACAGUGCUAAAAUUUUGAAAUGAUUAAUUUUUUUAUUUUCCUUUCAAUACCAAGACCCACAUACAUCAUGUCAUGCCCUAAGACCCACUCUAAGGGCAUGACAAUCAUUUCACAUCUCAAGGUAGAAAGCUCAAAGUGUAAAUUGACCUUAACAUUCAUUUUGUAACUGGAAAAUUAUCAAUUACCAAAUUCAUAUUCAAAGUAGUAGAAUAAAAUUCUAUAAGUUUCAAAUCUCAACUUUAAAGCUAACACAUCAACUAAAGUGUUAUUGUCCAAACAACUUCAAACUUAACAAUUCAAGCAAUCAUUAAAUUCUAGCUUUCAAAAAAAUAAAGUUUUAACCAAAAGUCUUAAUAUUGCCAAAAUAUCAUCCUAACGAUCACUCCUAGCCCGAAUUAAGGUGCCUAAAAAAUUGUCAAUGAAAGGAAAUGAGAUCAACGCUCAAUAAGGAAUAUUAACAAAGUUUCAUGGAUCAAACAUUUUUAAUUAUAAUUCCAAAUAGGAGAUAUAAUAUAUAAUCAUUUUCAUAAAAACUUUUGAGUUUAAAUAUAAUAAUACAUUCAAAAAUUUUUAGCUAAACAUUUUCAUAUCUAUGUCAAAACAAUUUCAUAUCAAAUUCAAAUCAAAUAUAUACAAAAUAUUUUUAUUUUGGUUAUCAAAUAUCACAUGGUGUCAAGUUAGGUGGGACUUUACAAAUUGGUGUCUAGCCUCAAAUUUUUUCAUUUCAAGGUGGAUGAAACCAAACACUACUAGUAUUAUUAACAUCUAACCAAAUGCCUAAAGGGUGGAAUCUAAAGCAAUUACAUGCCCCGCCAAGAAAUAUAAGGUCAACAAUUAUAACUAGUUAACUAAGGACAAAAAUAAACUAGAGUCAAACACCUUAUUUCAUUAAUUCAAACUUACAAAACAAAAACAUCAUAUCUCCAUAAUUUUCAUUUUUUAUAAACAAAAGAAAUGUUCUAACAUAUUUUUUUCAUGAAAAAUAUAUAUUUGAUCCAUGCAUAAAAAUAAAAAUAAUUUUUUUUAUUAUUCAAAAUAACAUAUAAAAGUAAAUAUGUUCUUUUGGCCAAAACAUGUAUUAAUUUUUCUUACCUCAAAGAAACACUCAAAGACCUUGAAGCAAUUAAUCCUGAAGAAUUUCACCCCAAAAAACAUAUUUCAUACCUUACAAAAAAAAAACAAAAAAACAAAAUUACUAUUGAUUAUUUAUCUAAUAAUAGUUUCGUAUCUCAUAUCACCUAUAUUAUUUUUAACUUCCUAAUAAAUAACAAUUUAAUAAGUGAUUUUCCAAAUUUUAAAAAGUUAUGUUCUUUCCAAAAUUUAUUCAUAAUAUUCUAUUAUUAUUAAUUAAAUCUCUCAAAAAUAUGUUUUUUCUAUUUAUUGCAUUAAACUAUUAUUAUUAUUAUUCAAUUUCAAUUUGAUUAAUUGGUUUUUUCUUUUAAAUUUUUAAUUUAUAUAAGAUUCUUGUUUUGAAAAUCUUCCAUAUUUACUUAUUUGUUUAAAGUAAAUUUCUCCAAAACUUGUUCCUUUUUGUUAAACAAAUAUCUUUUCCUAUUAUUAUUAUUAUUAUUAUCCCUAAUAUUAUAUUCAAAUAACUAAACAAUAAUAAUUUAAAUUAGUGAGUUUCCAAAUUUUUAUAAAACUCAUAUUCAUUCUAAAUCUUAUCAUAUAUAUCUAUUUCUUUUAUAUAAUUAAAUUAAAUUAAAAAUUUUACUUAAAUAUAUAUAUAUAUAUAUAUAUAUAUAUAUAUAUAUAUAUAUAUUAUAUUAUAUUAUUACUUUCAACAUCCUUCUACCACCGAAACAAUUACCUCAAGUAAAAGUCAUCUAUCCUUAUUCUACUAACUACCCUCUCUCUUGCAAUAGCACACUUAGGGAUGGCAAUGGGGCGGGUUCAGGAUAGGUCACCCCCAUCCCAACUCCACCUUGUUUAUUCAAAAUAAUUAUCAUCCUCGUCCCAUUUAAAAAAUUAAAUGAGACGGGGCGAGUAUGAUAAAUUCUCAUACUCGCCUCGUCCUGCCCCGUUUAACUUUUUUUUGAAUUUAUUUAUUUAUUUAUUUUUAAAAUUACUUUUAAAAUUUUUAAUUACAUUAAAAUAAAUAUAUUUUAUAAAUAAUUAAAUAAUUAUAUUUUUUAUUACUUAUUUUAUUAAAAAUAUUUUAUUAUUAUCUAUAUAUUAAAAAUAGUAAAAUAAAAAUUAAAUUAAAUUAAUUUUAAAAAUUAAUUUUAUAUAUAAUUGGGGCGGGGUGGGACGGGGCAAUACCCAAACCUGCUUCGGGUUUUAAAAAAAAUUCUCAAACUUGUCCCAAACCCGUUUAUUAAAAUUGAACUCCGUCCCAUUAGGGACGAGGCGAGUACCUCGAAAAAACCUGCCUUAUUGUCAUUCCUAAGCACACUUUCAUUUUUUUUUUUUCAUUUUUAUUGCUUUUAUCUUUUUCCUCCCUAAGAUCAAUCAUAUUGUAAGCACCCCUUUUUUUUUUCUACCACAUCUUGUUGCAAUCAACCUUGUAAGUUUUUUUAAUUUAAAUUUUUUUUCCACUAUGGAGGCACGUACAACCAUAAAACCCCAUCUUUUUUUAUUUUAUUUUUACAACUCUCAAAUCUCUCAACCUCCAUACUAUUAGGUUUUAUUCAUUCAUUUAUUUAUUUAUUAUUCCAUAUCCAAAACUAUAAUUAAUUUUCUUUUAUAUUUUUUUAUUUUAGAUCUAUUAAUUUGAAUAUUCAAAAUUUCUAAUCUUUACUAAUAACUCUAAAGCAUUCAAAACUAAUUAAUAAAUAUAAAAUAUUAAUCUAAGGAUUAAAAUCUUAUAUAGAAAAUUGAUCUUCAAAUCUUAAACCCCCAAAUUUUCAACCUUACAUUGCGUUGUCUAAUAUCUCAAAUCUCCAUGUAAAAGGGCUUUUGAAUAGAGUAAAUAAGAAAAAUUUAAUUUAUACCUAAAAUUUUUAAAAUAGAGAAAAAUCUUUCUACCCUUAUUAAUUUAAUUUAAUUAAUUUUUUAAAAUUAUGUUUUUACCCUUUAAUUGGGUUUGGGCAUCACACAUCAUACUAAAAAGUUAUCAAUAACCGUCCUUUGAGGCAUAUUAGCAUAAAUUUGCAACUUUAGUUGUGUUCUAGGUGCAAUUCUAUUAUGUUUAAUUGAAAAAUAACACACAUAGCACAACCAAGCCUAAUUGAAAGCAUUUGGGCAAAUAAAUGGUAAAUUUCUAAAAGUUCACCAAAACAAAAAAAAAGAUCAUAGAGGGCAUAUUUUUCAAGUCAACCUAGUUUUGGGAUAGCCACUUUCAAGCCUAAUGAUGUUAAGAUGUCUUAUUGCAAUCCAAUCUAAGAAUGCAAUAAUAGCUCUUUAAUUCAUAAUUUUAAAUUCACAAAAGAUAUCACCAAAAAUUACCAUAGGUUACCAAAGCAUCAACAACAUACAGAAAGCUUAGAAAUGCUUGGAACCUAUCGGAUUUUCACUUUUUAGGAAUAAAAAAAAAAAUCAACUUUAAGGAUUUUAGGGUAAUACUUGCUUGAACCAUCUUUCAAUCCUUUUGUUGGUGGUGGGCCUUUUACCUAUAGGAACAGGAAUAAGAGGUGAAAAUGAGGGAGCCUUAUGAAAACAGAUCCCUAGGGCUUAAGAAGGGGUUUUCAAUUUUAGGGUUUGCCUUUUCACCAAGGAUGUGAAUGGGAAGAUCAAGUGAAGUUAAGAGAUUGGUGAAGCAAAGUGAGGGCAUGGUAGGGUUUGAAUAAGGGAAAUUCUACACUAUUAAUGAAGAUGAUAAUCUCGAGAAAGCAAAGCUAAGGUAAACUAGGGUUUUAAUAACAUUUUUCAAUCUACACUAGUGAAGACGAUAUCUUCGAAAACCAAAGCUAGGGUAAGCUAGGGCUUUAAUAAUGAAUUUCAAUCUACAAUGGUGAAGAUGAGAAUCUUCGAAAACCAAAUCUAUAAUGGUGAAGAUGAUUGAAAACUAAAUCUAUACUGGUGAAGACGAUUGUAAAGCAAAUCUACACUAGUGAAGAUGAUAAUCUUCGAAAACCAAAUCUAUAAUGGUGAAGAUGAUUGAAAACUAAAUCUAUACUGAUGAAGAUGAUUAGAAAGCAAAUAUUCACUGGUGAAGACAACGAAACCAAAGGUAGGUCUUCUAAACUAAACCCUUUUAGGGAUUUUCCAUUUUUUUUCCUUUGUUUUCAAGAAAGGUAAACUCUCUUGAAAACCAAAAAACUAAUGCAUUCUUAAAUCCAGAUCACCAUUUUCAACAUAGUAUUUGGAUUUCCACCUUGCAUUUUUUAUUUUUUAUUUUUUUUAAUAGUCAAGGGCAUUUUAGGGAUUAUUGAAGGAUAAUAUCAAUAAGCUCAAUUUCCUACAUUAGUUAGGUCUUAGGCUCAAAUGUGAAACUUAUAGGGAUGUUAGGCCAAUUAUCAAACUUACUUGCCUAAAGCAUAAUUUCCCCUUUUCAAAAUAGUUGUUAAACAUCAAUCCCAAACAUGUGUAACCCUUUGAAGUACUUGUAUGUCAACCUUGUUUCCUUUCCCUCAUGCAACAUGACUUAUUGAUGGUUGCAUUGAAUCAUUAUCAUUCACCAAAUCCAUGCAACUAUGGACUACCUUUCAAAUCCCUUGAACAUAAAUGGUAAUUCCAAAACAACUCAAGUAUAAUCUUUCCGGCCUUUCAAAUGAUUUAAUUAAUUGAUGUUUGAAUAUACUUCAUAUAUUUUUUUAGAGCAAUUUUUAGGCAUAUGACAUAAAUCUCUAAUUUUUUUUAUUUUUAUAAAAGGUUUUAUAUUUUAUAUUACAAUUUCCUCUCUUUUUUUUCAUCUAAAAAACAAAAUAUAAAACCUUAAUAAACGAGUUUUGUCACAAUCCCUUAAAAGGUAAUCUAUUUUUAAAAAUUACUUUAACCAUUUUAGAUAUAUUGAUUCAGUCUAAUUUAAUUUUAAUAUUUUUUAUAAAAUAUUUUUAUUUUAUAUGAUUAUAAAUUAAUUACCAUUGAUUGCAUAUUAUAGAAUAUAUAUUCUAAAAUAUAUCCUAUUGACAAUAAUAUCAUAAGAUAUUAUAUCCAUAUCCUAAUAUAUUAUAUACUUUUAUUUUGUGCAAUUAGCAACAGGGUGGAAGACGGCUUAGGCGGGAGACGGCUUAACGGAAAUGUCGUCUGCCAUGCGUGUCCCUUCCCUUAGUGAGUCUGAACAGCUCCAACAUUUCUGACACGCCCUUCUUCGGUUAGCUCUUAAGUAUUUUCGUUAACCCCAUCACAUUUCGCCAUGUGGAUCUAAGCCUCAUGGUCCUUUCGUUCGUACUAUGAAUAUAUUCCUUAUCUAGAGUCUGGAUCCUUUAUCUCUGCACGUGUCUAUGGCUCUUCACCCCAGCAAGUAUGGCAUUACAAGGGCAAUAUCGUCAUUAAAGACCCAAAAGGCAAACGAAUGGCAUUAUCUUCCUUUUGGGUCUAUUCUAUUUAUAUUUAUAUUGCAAGUUAUUCGUGAUGACUUCUCUCAUAACAGCUAAAAACCACUCCAACAGAGCACACUUCACUUCUUCGUUUUUGUCUUUCCUCUUUUUUUUCCAGAGAAGCUGAGAAAGCCCAGCUUGCCCUCAACUCCCCGAUGGGUUUGAUGAAUGUUCUCAAAUUCUCAGCUGCAUGCUUUGAUCUUCUUGGCUGGUAUGUUGUCCACGGAUUUUCUCGUCAUUGGAAAAUGAAGUGGAAUUCUAUGUUUGAGGACAAAACUGGGAUUUGCUUUGAUUUCUCCAUGUUGGUUUUAUCCCUUUCCUUUGAAUUGUCCACAUUCUUGUCAUUGGUUGUUAGUUAUUUGUUUGGAUUUCUACUUGCAGGCCUCUGUUUGCACUGGGUUAUCCUCUGUAAGUCUUGGUCUUACACCCCAAGAUAUGAUCAUUCAUUUACUCUUUUCUUGUUCUAUGAAUUCUUAGUUCUGUUACAUUUAUUGGGUUGGAUUAUUAGUUAUUAUAUUAAUAAUCAUCAACGUCAUCUCGGUUCUUCACAGAUGUGCUUCAAUUCGGGUAAUUGAGACUAACUCAAUCUCAGACGUUCGGAAGUUGGUGGCGUAUUGGGUUCUAUUUUCCUUGGUUUCACUCUUUGAUCAUACUUUUGCCAAGCUCCUUGAAUGGUAAUUUUGCUCAACUGCAUUCCACUAUAUGUGGCUCUAUUUCUUUCAUUUCUCUGCCCUUAAGGAAUUUGGAGUUGCUUUUUUCAGUUUUCUUCCCUGUGAAAAUAAUCGAGAUGUUUAAUGUUCCAGGCCUGCAUGCUCAAGGAAGUGGUGUCAGCUUUGGAAAUAAGAUGGAUCUACUAGUUUUUAUUUCUCAUCUUUAUAGGGAACUUUCCAUAAUCACAGUGAUGAAUAAUUGUCUUGUUUGAAAGCAUGGUUGCACUUAUUUCCAUGGAAUUUGUCUGCUGAGAAACAAAUGGAAAUAGAAAAUUCAGAAUCUGACAAGUUUGUGUAGGGCAACUGGAUCUAAUCUCUUAGUCGAAGCUUAAUUGGGGCAAAUGCUGAUCAUCUUUGGACCAUUGAAGGCUCUAAUCUGUGCACAAUUCUAAUGUUUUUGUUUUCUUCAUUUCUUUUUCAACUGUUCAUAAUAGAUGUCAAAAGAUAAAACCGAACUUAUGUAGUCCAUCCAAGUGGAUGCAUAUAAAUUUAACAGAAACUGAAAUUCGAAGAAAUUUAUUUAUUUUUUUAAAUAUUUUAUUUUCUUAUAUAAUGCAUGUCAGGAUACCAUUCUGGCCUUACAUAAAGCUGAUGGUCAUCUGCUGGAUGGUGAUACCGCAUUUUGAUGGUUCAUAUUAUGUCUAUCAACACCUAGUUCAUCCAUGCUUGUCCAUUGAUCCACAAGUUGUCAUGAAUUGGCUUUUCAAUGAAUCAAAAAAGAAGUUUCAUAGCAGAGAAAACUUUCUUGUUUCAGCAGACCAAUAUAUUAAGGAGAAUGGACCUGAAGCUUUGAAGAAACUACUUGCUAGGAAGGUAUGCCAUUAUAAGUAGGAUUAUCAACAAGUCAAACAGAGUUUUAUUUGAGAUGUUCAAGUAAAAAAUGACUAUAGCAGGUCAUCUAGAAUUAUGUGGUCUAAAUUCAUGUAUAUAUCUAUAUAUAAUUGUGUUCUCUUUUUUUCACAUAUGCAUGUGCAUUUAGAUUUACAUAAUUAUAUAUGCAUAAUCAGAUUCAACUGUGAUAGCCCGGGAUUUAAUUCAGUAAUCAACUCUUCUGGGAACAUGUUGGUUAUGGUUUCUCUCUCACUGUCCUCUUAUUUAUACAUGACUUUGGCUUCAGUUGAGGAGCACAAAGCCUAAUGUUGAAGUGAAAGAGAUCAAAGCACCUGCAGCACCGGAGAAAAAAGGGGAAGCGGUAUGCACUCUAAUGUGGCUAUUUUAUUUCUAUGGAGGCAGAUCCCCAGAAAAAUGUUGCUCAUGUAAAUUAGUGAUGCAUUUAAAAGAAAAACCACUUUAUGUAUGUUUCUGUGAAAAAGAGAACAAGUUUAUGGAUUAAGUGAUAUUUUUUAUGGUGAAAUAAUCAAUAAUUUUCAAAAUAAUAAUAUAUUCGUGCAUGUUUUUGCAAUUCAUGAAUUCCUUUUACGAUUGAUUCUUCUCACCUCAGUGGAAGUGUGAAGAGCCUAAUGUUGCAGAAAAGGAGAUCCAAGUAGUCAAAGUAACAGACAUAAAAAAUGGGGGGAUGGAGCAAAGAGGGUAAGUUUUCCUUUUUAUUUAUAAGGAAGGCUGUCUUCACACAAGGAUUAUUGUUAUUAUUUUUAAGACAUGAAUGUUGAAUGCAUUUGGAAUUGUCGUUGAAUCAUGUGAAGUGUGAAGGUGCAAAUGGUGCUAAGAAGGAGAUCAAAGUGAUGGAAGUAACACAGAUAACAUUUGGUGAUACAGAACAGUGGGUAAGGUUUCUUGUCAUACUUAAACGGCACCUCAUAUUUCACUAGGAUUAAUUUUGGCCUACAAACAUAUUUGGCUACAAGUUGAAGACAGAUUUCCAGAUACUGGUAGAAGUUGAGACAUAAGUAAUGAAUGAGUUUAGAAACAUGCACAACUCUUGUGUGAAACACAAUGAGAGUGGAAAAUAGCUAAGUUGAAAAAUGGCCAAAUACUAUUUUGUAGUUCCCCCCACCACUUAAGUAAUUUUUGUCAUCCUUUGUGAAUGGACAAUGCAGUCCCUUCAGUAAUUCCGCUAUAUUCAUGACUUGGUGAAGCAUAUAACCAUUAGUGUCUUGUCCUAAGUUGACCUUUAAUGAUGAUCCAUUGAGAGGGAUCUGACUUUUGUCAACCCUCUUAGAGGUUAAACAUACGGGGCUUAACCCACUUUUCAAUCUCAUUGGAUAUAUGGCACGUGGUAUCCUCUUCAUCUUGAAAGAGUGAAGUGGUCAUACUCUUUCCUCCGAGUCCAUCGUGGCCAUGCACUUCUGGCUCAUUGGGCUGAGUGAAAGGAUUCCCUUCUGCUUCAAAUCAUAGAGAGAUAUGCCAUGGUCAGCCUCUUUAAUUUGAAGGAUUGAAGUACUCAAAUCCAUUUCUUUGCAUCCAUCUUAGUCCUGCUUCCAUGUCUCAUGGUUAACCAGGAAGAUCAAGCUUCCAUCCAUGAGAUCAGCAUCUGCAGGGUUAUGACUCCACCCUUCCUUGGCAUAGGAAAGCGAUCAUUAAGCCACAUGUCGGAUGACAGAAGUCGUCAUUCAGGUUAUCUUGAGAACUAGGGAAGUUGGAAUUCUAAUUAUUGCAUAUGGUUCUUGAUGUUUAGCCAAUAUACUAUAGGAUUUUAAGCAUCAUGCCCAUGUGCAUUGUGGUUUUUUAUCAGCUAUAUGGUUUACCAAACUGAGGGAUUGAUUAUAGUCAUAAGUACCCUUUUCCCAUUAAUUUCUUGCAUGUGCUUUGCUGAGAUUAUGUUUUUGACAGUGCUAAUCAGGGCAAACCAACAAACAGCUUUAUGUUAACUUUUACAAACUGCCACAUUUUCAGGUUGAACGAUCAGACAUAAAUCUUGGUGAAACUAGAAGUAAUACAACCUGUGCUGUGGAGAUAAAAGAAAGGGCAGCAGCACUGGUGGCUGCAGAAAUUGAGGCAUGUAGAGACAAUAGAACCCCCGAGAUACCUCUGCAUAAGAAAGUCCAGAAAGAGUGGGCUUGUGCUGUAUGCCAGUUCACAACCCAAAGUGAAGUGACCUUCAAUUCCCACCUUCAAGGGAAGAGACAUCAGGCCACUUCUGAGCAGUUGAGAGCCAAAAACCAGGCAACCAAAACCAAUUGUUCCCCAUCUGCUUCAAAGGCCAAGAAAUCUGAUCAGUCCACCAAAGAGGAGCAACCAAAGUGUCCUUCCAACAAUCUGAAUUCCAAAAACAAUGGAAUCUCAGCUGCUUCAACAGUGAAGAAACCUGACGAGACCAAAGAUGAUGAGCAACAAAAGUGUGCAUCCAGCAAUGGACCAAACCAGAAGAAUAACAAAAAGCAAGAGGAGAAGGUGCUAGUUCUUGAGACCAAUGAGCAAGGCCAUCAGAAUAAUUUUGAUCCACGAUCCCACAUUUAUUUUGGGUCUCACAAGUUUCAAAUUUGCAGAAAAAUGAAAGAUGUUUGAGAGAAAAUUAAAUCAUAUUGCACUACUGUUAGGAAAAAUAUGGCUGAAUCCAAUUGCUUUUCUUCUCCAAGUCUAUUAAAAAUAUAAUUUUUUCUCCAUUCCUGACAAAAUUUAAAUUUUUUCCUUAAAAAAAAAAAAAUUAAGUUUGAUCACCUAACACAUCUUUCUAAACUCAAUCUCAACUUGAAAAAUCAAACCUUAAUGGAUGGACUAUAGAAAUAGUGAGAAAACACUUCUGGGGUUUUUUUUUUCUUCCAACAUCAAAUUUUUCUAUAUAUGGGAUUUCACAUGCAAAAGCAGGAGUAGAUUUGCUUGUGUUUGAUGUAUGUAUUAGAAAAAUUUGUCCCUUCUGGGAUGUUUAAUACUUUUCUAUUCUUUUAUAUGCAUGUUUAGCUAGAAGAUAUAGAAUCGAUACCAUUCCUUAAAAGUGAUAGCCACAACUGUGAUAAUUAAACACCAAAGAAUGUGAAGAUCUAUAUAUUCUUUUUUUUUUCCUCUCUCUUUCAAUAAUGAAGCUAAGAUGUGUUGUAAGCAUCAAAUGCAUUGUCUCUGCUUGAAUAUAUACAAAGCCAAGGACCACAAGAUGGAUAGAUAUGGGGACGCACAAAACUUCUCAAACAUGAUUAUAUUAAUCAAGAAUUCAACUAAGCUUAAAUUCAAGAUGUUGAUUUCUAGCAUCUCUGGUGCUAUAGGAUGACUAUUGAUCCUGUACUGUUAUGUGCCCUACUGAUAUAUUCUUCGGGUUGUUAUGUAUAAAUAAAAUUUUUGGGAAAGUUUGCUUGGUGGUUACACUAUCACUAUUUAGGCCAGUAAAAAUUGGAAGCCUUUGUAAAAAACUGAUGGUCCAAGAGCUAUUCUACUUCAUCAUCCAUGUAAUAUGACGAUACAAAUUUGACUAAAUGCAGCUAUAGAAGGCUUAGGACCAUAAACCAAGCCUAGUCGAUGUCACUCACCUAAAUUUAUGCAUAAAGCUUUUGGAUGGCUCAGAGUUAUAUUUAAUUACUGUUAUGUUCGCAACUAUAUUUUCAUUGGAUUUAUAGUCCAGCUUGAGAACUAGUCCUCCAUUGCACAUAAUGUCCACACAAGGCCACAGUGCCCGCUCAAAGGCCAUAGCGCUACUCAAGGAUAUAGUGCUUACUCAAGGCCAUAGAGCCCACCUAAGGCUAACGACCCAAAAGGAGAAAAAGGUUGGUUCCACGUACUCUAAUAUUUACUAGAAAAGGUUCUUCCUAUUAAAGAACAAAAAAUUGCAUUCCCUUGUGACCAAUCCAAACAGUAGACCACUGACUUGUAUAAGGCAUUAUUCACCAUGCAAGCACUUUUUCAGCAACCUACCAUCUGGCAUGAACCAUUUUGGAUUGAUUCACAAAGCAAUGGUGUUAUAUUAAGCAUAUUCAAUAUAGAACCAAAUUGUGCCUCCUUAGAUUAACUAAAAUAUUUCCAUUGCAAGAUGUGCAGAUAGGCAUAUGAUCAUGAAGUAAUUUCCUGAUGAUAAUACCCCACAAAAUAUUUCUUUUUCUCACUGAUCUCUCCUAGAUUUUCAGUUCACCCAUCCAUGGCGCCUGACUAAAAAUGGGGGCAUUUUGGAUACCCCGAGCAGUAAGUUAGCCUGGUAGGCAUCCCGUUGCAAGCAAAGUCAACCCGAGCGGUCCAUUUGACCAAAGCUUAUCCAGGCAGUAAGCGUCCAUAUACAGCUAACUGUUAUGCACCAUCAACAGGUUGAGGUUACAAGAUUAAAGAGUCAUAAUGGCCAAAUGGAAGUUACACGACUCGGCCUAUAUAAUAACAGUAUGACAAAAAAUGCAGGUAUGAAGAACUAUCACUGAAAAAAUUUAUUCCUAAAAAUCCUUUAAGCUCCUUUAAGCUAACUUGGGCAUUGGAGAGGUCUCUCCGAAGCACACUCGAGCUUACCUUUUUGUAAGACAUCGAGAACAAGAGGCAUUGAAGUGAUUGUCCGGAGGGUUGAACUUGGUCGGGAACCAACAAUACACACUAUUCAAAAAUAGGGAUCAUAUUAAAUUAUUAAUGCAACCAUAGGAAGCAAUUGAGGACAAGGGUGUUAUUUGAUUAAAAGGGUAAUUGAAAACCUAAAUUUUGAAAUUUAACCCUCCAUUCUAUUUGGCCUUAUGUGAACAAAAAUGCCUUCAUUAUUUUCUUGUAAAAAUAACUCACCCAUUUAAACCUUACAUGAAAAUACUUAAAAUGGUAAAUGAUAUGUUAAAAAUUGAUUAUUUUUCAAAUAAAACAUAAGAAGGGUCAAAUUCAUGAAAGGAUUAUUUCAUCCCUUUUAAUCAAUUAAUUCGAUUUAUUUCUUUUUAUUUUUUUUCUCUCCAUGUUAAUUUUCACAUCACCCAACAACACCACUCUUAAUUCACACAAGUUUGAAGUUUUUGAAUGAGAUAUAUUCGUAAUUAUAUUGUAAUUGUGUUAUAAUAACCAUUUCGUACUUGGAUUUGUUCUUUCAGUCCAUUUAACCUUUUUGUUUAUUCAUGUCAAAACAAUGUACUUAUAAUCGAAUCCAUUUAUGACAUGUUGAUCUUAUAUAAAUUUAUUAAUUUUAUAUAUUUAAAAAUUAUAAAAAUUAAAUAUACUUUUUCAAUUAUGAAUAUCAUAUUACUAAAAUAUUAAAUAACAAAUUAACUUGAAAUGCUAUAUAUUUCAUUAAUUAUUUUAUAAUUAAAACAUUAAAUGAAAUAAUAAACAAGUAUAAAAUAGAAAAUUCUAUCUUAGUUAGAAAUUAUAAACUGUUAUUGAGACAUAUAAGUAUUAAAAUUCUACCCAUUUCACUACCAAACAACUUAUGUUUUUAGUCAUAAUUUAACCUUAUGAUGAACACUUAAAUAAAAUUUGUCAUCUUUUUCUAUUGAUUUAUAUUUAUUUAUUUAAAAAUUUUGUCUGGCAUAAACUAUCAUCUCACAAAAUCAUCAUUGAUGAGUAGGCUAUGCCCCAGUGUAAGCAUCUCCAAAUCAAACAUCAAUGAGAGGAGUACAACCAAUCAUACAUCAUCUUAUCAAAAUGAAUCUCCGCUUUUCAAAGUCAUCGUGGUAACGUGAAGAGAGUAUUUGACCUCCUCUAAAGAAAAAACAUGUCUUGAUGUGAAAAAGAUCAAGCAAAGUGGUAUGCCUCAACAAAAAUGUGCUCAAACAUGAUCAUGCCCCGAUGUAAGUUAGUAUCUCUAAGAUCAAUCGCCAAUGAAAAGGUUAUUCCCCAGUAUAGGGCAAACUCUGAAAUGACUAAACUCCGUUGCAAGCUCUCAUAAGUGUCUGUGUCAUGAUCCAAUCAUCGCAAAAAUUUGUCAACAAUGAUGAGAAGGCUAUGCUCCUAUAAUCACAUCAAAGAAAUCACUCGGUCAUAUUACUCCAAUGUGAAAGAAAUCUAAUCACCUCCAAGGAACAGCUAUGCCUCAAAACCAUCAUCGACUGAGAGGGGGAUGCCCCUGAUCCAAUCACCACCCUAACUAACGUACCCAUCAUGAGGAACACUUGUUUGAGCUCCAUAAUGGGGAUCAACCAUUAGAUGAACAAGAUUCGAAUAUUACUUGCUCCCCAUUUCAACCAAUGAAUGAUGUACCUGGAAACCUUGUAGACAACCAUAGUUUUCAGCCUUCUUCCUCGCGAUCAUCUAGAACAGAGUCGGUAAGCUUCACUCAUUUCUUAUAAUGGACCUUGACCCACAACGUCGAACUACCUGUAUGCAAAAUUAUCCGUCCAGAAAACCCAUCCAUACAAUUCAGGUUCAAAACCCACAAGAACCACCCUAUGAAUAAACUAAUUAUAGCUGGCUUCGUUGCAAUAGGCAUUAACUUUCUUAUGCUGACAGUCCUAGCAUCAUUUACCAAAGGAUCAACAACUUUUCCAUGUCAGAGAACAUUAUCAAUCACAAUGACACCCCUGGUCCUCACUAGUUGCGAUAGCAAUUUAAAGUAUUCUUGAUUCAAAGGGUAAACAAAACAAAAAAGAAAACCCUAAGUGUGACUCCUUAUUUGAAAAAUGUGGUUUAUGAAAAACCGGAUCGAGCUUAGGGGUCAGGUUACUUAUCGGGAAGGUACAAAAAAAACCGUAGCACCCCUCUAAGUCCCUAAAAUGGGUCUCUAUUGAUAAAAUGAAGCAAUCAUGGCAAUUGGUAAGGAAAUCAUUGAGUAUCAACAUGAUCACACAUUGAGAGUUAAAGCAUGCAUGAGGAAUGGUCAAAGUGAGAAAGGAUGCGUACCUUAGCAACGAGUCCCAAUGCGCUAUCAAGAAAUUGGGUUAGUGCACAAUCAAUAAAUAUAAAAUAUAACACACAUGCAUCACUAAAUAGGGUAAUAAAUCCCCGAUGACAAACCUUGCACUUCACUCAGGUUUAUUUCUACUUCUCUGAUGUUGGGCCCCACCAAAGCUCAUUUUAUUUUGCAUGAAUCAACUCCAAUAACUCCAUUAUUCGGAAUUACGAAAUUUAAUUCUUGCUUAUUUUAAAGCAUUUUAAAAAUAGAGGAGAUAUGAGAAUUGCUCGCCAGAAAAGAAGAUGGCGGCAAAAUUUUAAUGAAAAACGAGUUUUUGGAACCUAAGAAAAAUGUUAAGGAUGGAAAAUUUUGGAGGUUUGAAAUUAAUUAAAAAUUAGAAUUGAGGAAUUUAUUUACAAAAUGGGGUUUAGGAAAAUUAUUUUCAAAAAAAAAAAAUGAUGAAAUGAGAGAUGGCACGUGACACAAGGGUGGCCAUGCUGAAGGCGUUCUCUUCUGGCCCAAGCUGGAAAUGCACUCCAAUUAUCCUUCUUUUCUGGUAUAACACCUUCAUCAAAAUAAAUAGCUUUUGCACCAUACUCUGAUAGACAAGGACCAAUAACAAUGCCUAUAUUUGCCUUAAGUAGACAAAGUAAGUCACCCAUUGAACCUCCAAUAUAAAUUGUCAAGUGCUCUGUGUCAUUACUGCAUCCCUCCUUCAAGAUGUCCUUAGAAACCUAAAGCUUUUCCACGACAUACUCCAUCUUCUUAAUGAUUUCACCCGUGGAAAUGGAUUCUUCACAAGCCAACUCAUUUGAAUAUACUCUCAAAACACCCAUAUCACCUGAUGAAAAUGCUGAUCUAACGAAAUCGCCACACCAACAGUAUGAAAGUCCAUGAACAUCUGCUUUCAGAUUAUUAUUUUUAAGAAUCUUUUGGAAGAAACCUGUGCAACCAUCUUGAAGAAUUAGACCUUGACCAACCUGUUUUAUAUCAUCUGAAUUUAAACCCUUCAAUACUCCAGACUGAGUCACUCUUGAAUCUGCCUUUUCCUCAAAAUCAGAAAGUUGCUCAAGUGCUUUACAUAAGCCUUCAUAAUUGAAUUUUUCCACUGUUUCACUGGGGACGAUGCUUCCCAUGCAUUUUUCAAGCUCUUCAGUAUGCUGGGUAGAUAGAACACCCCAUGUGUGUGUCCAGAUCACCAUGAGUGACCAUUUGAACCUUGACGAAUGAGAGAGUACAUAACAUUUAAGCACACAGGACAUAUAUUAACAUUCUCCAUUAGCUUCUCUUUGCCUUUGUCCACCUCUUGACCUCCCAUGCAGCCAACUGUGAAGACCACGUCCAGGUGCAGUCACGUGGUGACACAUCUCAUGGUCUUCCUCAUCCAAUAAAUCACAUGCUCUGUUAAAUCUGCUACCCGAAUGGAUACCUCCUAUCCAUCAACCUGAAUAUACUCCGAGCUUUCUUCAUAAAACCCAAGAAACUCCAGAAGGCAUCAUGGUUCUCCUCCAUCAUUGAAAUGAUUAGGGAUAGUAAAUCACUCAUCCCUUAGCAAUAUCCCAUUUUUAAACCAUAGGGUGCGUAGGCUUCUAGAAUAGUAGCAAAGUGAGCAACACGGAAAAUCUUGCGUGGAUCCAAGUUCCAUGAUGGUGAUCGUAGCCUCACCUUUGAAAUCACAAGACCCAGAACCCAUUCGUUCUUCCUGGUAAUAACUAUCAGAUGCAUAGGAGGCAGGGUUCUUCAGAUUGUUGAUUUGGUAAAAGCCUCUUCUGGUUGAACCCCUGAAUGAUUCACUUUUCUCAGUCCGCAAACCUAGUUCAGAACAGCCCGCAAGAUCAGAACCUUAACCUAGGCGUGGAGAUCCAGUGUUGUAUAACGCCUCAAUUGUCGGAAGCAGCCAUGGCCCAAACAAUGAUAUAAUGGUCAGCAAGUUGUCCCCAAGGACCAUGACAGUGAUGAGCAUUUCCGGGCAGCGCGUCACCACGUUCCACGUCGCGACGGUAAUGGCUAUGGACUGAGUGUCAUGGUCAGGGAGCUUGAUGAAGCAGGUGAAAAUCUGGUGUUUUAGAUUCUGAGGCAAUGACUGCUUGAUCGGUCGGAUUCUAGUACCGGCGUUACAUUGGGGAGGCAAUCUUAAAGUUCCAACGGAGGUAGUAGUGGACUAAUAUUCCUCAAUAACCAAACUUGAGUUUCUCACUUUCCGCUUCUCAAGGCAUUCACCUGAAACGCUUCAGGCGCCCAAACCCUUUCUGCUCAUCAGUAUAAUCACGCGCAUGAAAGUCUUAACUGCCUUCUAAACUUCACAACUUCAUCUUGCAUCUGGGUCAUCGUCGGCACGAACUUAUCACCUGAUUCAGUUAAUAUCCCCAUAUAACAAGUUCCAAUGAAGUCGCAACUUUGCAUCUUCUUUUCUGCGAUUACUUUGAUUCUCAAAGCCGAUUACUUGUUGCAGUCCAUAGGAGAUUCAAUAAUCAAACAUCAUGCACAAGCAAAAAGGCAACAAAAUACAUCGGCAUGUGGCCCAUACACCCUCCAAAAUCUUCACUCAUUUAGUAAGUUUUAGAUUCAAAAGAGUUAGCCUUCUGGUGAGCAACCCGAUACCCAUAACGAAUGAUGUAUCUGAAACACCUUUCCCACGUGGCCCUUGAAGGAUUCACUAGAAGGUGACCAUGCAUAGUAGGUCUUCACUCGCAGGAGAAUGAGAAGGAAAUAAACCUAAAGGGGGGUUGACAGCGUAGUCUAGAAGGUGAUGAGCUGAGCGGGUGGGGGUAUUAGGGUGGUCAAGUUCAGUGGGUAUGAAGGGUGGAAAGAUGGCAUGAUAGAGGAAUAAGCAGCUGAUAGUGGGUGCGAUGAUAUAAGGUAGGUUGACUAUGGAGAGUAUGGCAUUAAAGGAUGAAGACUUAGAGAGAGAGAGGUGGGUUUAAGGGUAUGGUGAGAUGGAGGGUUGAGGGUGAUAGGCUUGGAUAGUUGCAUGAGGAGGAUGAAAGGUGGGUAUGGAAAAUGUGCAUGGGUAGGAAAUGGGUAUAACAAUGGGUGUGAAUAUUGAGAGGUAGUGAAAUGAAGGCAGCCUUGCUCGUAUGGAUCAGUGUCGGAUUGAGUUAAGAAUGGUGAGAGAAAGGGAUUCGAUGAAUAUUGAAUGAUGGAAAAUGGUGAUUGGUUAGAUAGGGAUUUGUGGUCGAAUGGAAAUAGGAGACAUGAACAUAGAGAUGAGUGUGAUGGAUGAUAGUGGGCAUGAAGGGUAUUGGAUUUGUUCAUGGGUAUAGUGGUUAAAAGAGUGGUGAGAAGAAAAAAAAAUGGCCAUGUAAAUAGCAAUUAUACAUGUGGGCCCGUGAUUGCAAACGGGACUGCAUUGUUGCAUCUCAUGCUGAACCCUCACCUCCUUCUAGGAUCAUUUUCUGCAUCAAAGCUAGAUAAACUUAGAUGGUAUUUCCUGCCAAUUUUGGAUGCCCCCCACUUUGGAAAUAUUUCCUUUUCACCCAUCAGAAUAUGCUUAUCAGGUGUACUUGACUCAGGUUCAUUCCCAUAUUGCCUCUCUGAUUUAUGAUCUUCAAAGGUUUUGCAUGAAGGAAGCCUUUCACUGCAUUCCCCUUCAUCCACCAGACCUUCAGAGCAUCGUUUCCAACAAAAGCAACCUUGACUCUUCUAGUCCCAUCAGAAAAAAGUCUGAAUAUCCUCAGUUUAUGUCAUCCCUUGAUGCCCAACUCAGAAAUGAUCCAAAAAACAGUCAUCUCCCAUAUUUGGCUUCCCAGAAACACCUCGACUCAGAUGGCCAGUCCAAAUGUGAUACCCAACAUUCUAAAAAUGCUAAAAACAGAGGAGAUGAUGAAGAAAAACAGAGCAUGUAUAAAAGAAAAAAAAAAGGACUGUUAAAUCUCACUCCAUUCCAUAAAUGCUAAUGGGGUGGAUAUGGUGGAAUCAAAAGGAAGCAAGAGCGUGAUCUUCAAAAUCAAAAGCAAUGAUGGAUCCAUAUUCAAAACGUUCCAGAAUAGAGAAAGACACAAAUAAGGAGCAGGGUUUUUUUUUGUUACUGGCAGGAAGAUAUUUUUUCUAGAGAGUAACUAGAGAGAAAAAUAGGAAGAAAAGGGAAGAGCAUAGAAGACAUCUACAUAGGAGAGUAUUCAUUGUUGUGAGGAGUAGUAGAGAGCUUAGGAGGAGUUACAAAGAGAGUGAGUUUGGUUAGAGGAGGAAGUUUUGUUGGUUUUUCAGAAAGGAUUCUAGCUUGAGUGAGAGCCAUUCUAGAGAGGGUUAGAGAGGAGAAAGGUGUGUUUUGAGCAGCAAAGACACGAAGCAAAAUAGAGCAGCCAGGAAAGAGAAGCAGAAAAUCAAAAUUACUAAAAAAUUAGUGAAAGCUGUGAAAUUUCAUAUUGUUACUAAUUAUUAUAAUUUUUUUUUGUAUUUUCAAUAUUUCAACCAAUAUUUUAUAUAAUUAAAUUUAAAUUAUAAGAAUUAUAUUAUUAAUACACAUAACUAUCUUAAUGUUUUAACAAUGUAUACUUAUUUAAAUUUAUUUCAAUUUUUUUAUUUUUUUAUAAAUAUCUAAUUAGACUUAUAAUUCAUUGAAAUUAUUCAUUUUUUUUUUACUUCAUAAACCAAUUAUAUUACUUUUUGUAUUUUCAAUAUUCAUUUGGAAAAAAUAAUUUCAAUUUAAAAUAAAAUAAAUUAAUUAACUCUCAAUUUAUAAAUUGUGUCAUUGAAUUAUUUUUUAUUUAUAAUAUUUAGUUUAUUUUAAAUUUAAUUUUUUUUCUUCACCUUUUGGUUUAUCACUUUAUAUUAAAAAAUAAAAUAAAAUUGAAUUUCUUUUAAUUUAUAUUUUCACAAAUUAUUCAAUAUUUUUUUAAUUUUUAUAAAAUAAAUCCUCAGAUUAUAUAAUUGGAUGUUGUAAAGAGUUAAAAUUUUUGUGUUGCAUUGAAUUAUUUUUUCUAACAAAAGUAUAUUUGGGUACCGUAGACAUUAUAUCCAUAUCUUAACGUAUUAUAUACUUUUAUUUUGUGCAAUUAGCAAUUGAGCGGAAGACGCGGAGCCGGCUAACGGAAAUACCGCGUGUCACGCGUGUCCCUUCCCGUACCAAGUCUCAACUGCUUCAAGAUUUCCGACGCGCCCUUCUUCGCUUAACUCUUAAGUCUUUUCUUCCACUCUUCCUUAAACCCAUCACAUUUCGCCGCGUGGACCUAAGUCUCAAUGUCCUUGUGUUCAUACGAUGUAUGUUCCCCCAAUUCCUCAUCUACACUGAAACUCCAUACUCGCCUACUCAAUCACUUCUCUACUCUAGAGUCUGGAUGCUUAUCUCUGCGCGUGUCGAUGGCUCUUCACCCCAGCGAGUAUGGCAUUACAAGGGCAAUAUCGUCAUUAAAGACACAACAGAGUGUCUAUUUUAUUUAAGCUGUACGUAAUCGUGAUUGACUUCUUAGUAUCCUUUUGCUCCUAGUCUUCUCCCGCGUCUCUUAUAAAAACUAAAGAAAACCACUCCAAGAGAGCACACUACAAGAAUCUUCUUCCUUUUUUUCUUUCCUCUUUCUCUUUACAGAUAAACUGAGAAAGCCCAGCUCAUCCCUCAAUUCCCAGAUGGGUUUCAUGAAUGUUCUCAAGUUCUCAGCUGCAUGCUUUGAUCUUCUUGGCUGGUAUGUUGUCCACGCGUUUUCUUGCCAUUGGAAAUUUUUGGGAAAUGAAGUGGAAUUCUCUGUUUGAGGACAAACAUGGGAUUUUCUUUGAUUUCUCCCUGUUGGUUUUAUCUAUAUUCUUUGAAUUACCCACAUUCUUGUCAUUGAUUGUUAGUCAUUUGUUUGGAUUUCUACUUGCAGGCCUCUAUGUGCACUGGGUUAUCCUCUGUAAGUCUUGGUCUUACACCUCAAGAUAUGAUGAUUCAUUUACUCUUUUCUUGUUCUACGAAUGGUUCAGUUACAUUUAUUGUGUUGGGAAACUGAAAAGGAAAAGGAUUAUUAGUUAUUAUCGUAAUAAUCAUCAACAUCAUCUCGGUUCUUCACAGAUGUGCUUCAAUUCGGGCAAUUGAGACUAACUCAAUCUCAGACUUUCGGAAGUUGGUGGCGUAUUGGGUUCUAUUUUCCUUGAUUUCACUCUUUGAUCAUGCUUUUUCCAAGCUCCUUGAAUGGUAAUUUUGCUCAACUGCAUUCCACUAUAUGUGACUCUGUUUGUUUCAUUUCUUUGCCCUUAAGGAAUUUGGAGUUGCUUUUUUCAGUUUUCUUUCCUAUGAAAAUAAUCGAGAGGUCUCCAUGUAUUUUAUAUUCCUUCAUUUCUCUGCUUUGACAAAGGCCCACAUUCUGAUCAGCAGAAAGGUUAUAACAUUUGAAAAAGAAGUGCUUUAUUUUUGUUUUUUGUUAGUACAAUAAUUUUCGUUUGGAUAAAUGGUCUGAAGGGUGUUUGUGUUUGGCUGAGUUCAUGGAAUUUUCUAGCUAAUUUGGGAUUUAUUCUCAAUUUCAAGAUCAUUGUGGAUAUGUCAGAAAUUAAUGAAAUAUAAACGGUGGAAUGUGAUUUUCUUGUUUAAGAAAAGUUUUUCUUUGAAAAUACGGGUGCACCUGACCUACCUUAUUGUGCUACUUGGAACACAAAACAUUAGUACAGGUAAUUUAUUAACUAAAUUGUACACUUUUUGAUAGUUCAAGGAGGUGGUUUUCUUCUUUUAGGGUGUCAGCUUUGGAAAUAGGAUGGAUCUAAAAGUUUUUAUGUCUCAUCUUUAUAGGGAACUUGAAAGCAUGGAUGCACUUAUUUCCAUGGAAUUUGGCUUCCUUGAAAUCAAAUUAAGCUUUAUGCAUCAUUUGGAUGCUGAGAAACAAAUGGAAAUAGAAAAUUCAGAAUCUGACAAGUUUUUGUAGGGCAACUGGAUCUAAUCUCUUAGUCGAAGCCUAAUUGGGGCAAAUGCUGAUCAUCUUUGGACCCCAUUGAAAGCUCUAAUCUGUGCACAAUUCUAAUGUUUUUGUUUUCUUCAUUUCUUUUUCAACUUUUCACAAUAGAUGUCAAAGGUUAAAACCAAAUUUACGCAGUCCAUCCAAGUGGAUGCAUAUAAAUUUAACAGAAACUGAAAUUCGAAGAAAUUUAUUUUCCCUUUUGUAAAUGGUGUUUAAAUAUUUUAUUUUCUUAUAUAAUGCAUGUCAGGGUACCAUUCUGGCCUUACAUAAAGCUGAUGGUCAUCUGCUGGCUGGUGAUACAGCAGUUUGAUGGUUCAUAUUAUGUCUAUCAACACCUAGUUCAGCCAUGCUUGUCCAUGGAUCCACAAGCUGUCAUGAACUGGCUCUUCAAUGAAUCAAAAAAGAAGUUUCAUAGCAGAGAAAACUUUCUUGUUUCAGCAGACCGAUAUAUUAAGGAGAAUGGACCUGAAGCUUUGGAGAAACUACUUUCUAGGAAGGUAUGCCAUUAUAAGUAGGAUUAUCAACAAGUCAAACAGAGUUUUAUUUGAGAUGUUCAGGUAAAAAAUGACUAUAGUAGGUCAUCUAGAAUCAUUUGGUCUAAAUUCAUGUAUAUAUCUAUAUAUAAUUGUGUUCUCUUUUUUUCACAUAUGCAUGUGCAUUUAGAUUUACAUAAUUAUAUAUGCAUAAUCAGAUUCAACUGUGAUAGCCCGGAAUUAUUUCAGUAAUCAACUCUUCUGGGAACAUGUUGGUUAUGGUUUCUCUCUCACUGUCCUCUUCUUUAUACAUGACUUUGGCUUCAGUUGAGGAGCGCAAAGCCUAAUGUUGAAGUGAAAAAGAUCAAAGCACCUGCAGCACCGGAGAAAAAAGGGGAACAGGUAAGUUCUCUAAUGUGACUAUUUAAUUUCUAUGAGGCAGAUCCCCAGAGAAAUGUUGCUCAUGUAAAUUACUGAUGCAUUUGAUUCAAUGGCAUGGUUUUAAAAGAAAAACCACUUUAUGUAUGUUUCUGUGAAUAAGAGAACAAGUUUAUGGAUUAAAUGAUAUUUUUUAUGGUGGAUUAAUCAAUAAUUUUCAAAAUAAUAAUAUAUUCGUGCAUGUUUUUGCAAUUCAUGAAUUCCUUUUAUGAUUGAUUCUUCUUGCCUUUUUUCUCACCUCAGUGGAAGUGUGAAGAGCCUAAUGUUGCUCAAAAGGAGAUCCAAGUUGUCAAAGUAACAGAGAUAAAAAAUGGGGGGGAUGGAGCAAAGAGGGUAAGUUUUGCUUUUUAUUUAUAAAGUAGGCUGUCUUCACACAAGGAUUAUUAUCUUUAAGACAUGAAUGUUGAAUGCUUUUGGAAUUGUCCAUGAAUCAUGUGUAGUGUGAAUGGCCUAAUGCUGCUAAGAAGGAGGUCAAAGUGACAGAAGUAACACACAGAACAUUCGGUGGUACAGCACAGUGGGUAAGGUUUCAUGUCAUAUUUAAAUGGCUCCUCAUAUUUCACUAGGAUUAAUUUUGCCCCUACAAACAUAUUUGGCUACAAGUUAAGACAGAGUUCCAGAUGCUGAUAAAGUUGAGACAUAAGUAAUGAAUGAGUUUAGAAACAUGCACAACUCUUGUGUGAAACACAAUGAGAGUGGAAAAUAGCUAAGUUGAAAAAUGGCCAAAUACUAUUUUGUAGUUCCCCCUACCACUUAAGUAAUUUUUGUCAUCCUUUGUGAAUGGAAAAUCCAGUCCCUUCAGUAAUUCCGUUAUAUUCAUGACUUGGUGAAGCAUAUAACCAUUAGUGUCUUGCCUUAAGUCGACCUUUAAUGAUGAUCCAUUGAGAUGGGUCUGACUUUUGUCAACCCUCUUAUUCCCUUGAUCAUAGAGGUUAAACUUAGGGGGCUUAACCCACUUUUGAACCUUAUUGGAUAUAUGGCACAUGGUAUCCUCUUCAUCUUGAAAGAGUGAAGUGGUCAUACUCUUUCCUCUGAGUCCAUUGUGGCCAUGCACUUCUGGCCCAUUGGGCUGAGUGAAAGGAUUCCCUUCUGCUUCAAAUCAUAGAGAGAUAUGCCAUGGUCAGCCUCUUUAAUUCAAGGGAUCGAAGUACUCAAAUCCAUUUCUCUGCAUCCAUCUUAAUUCUGCAUUCAUGUCUCAUGGUUAACCAAGAAGAUCCAGCUUCCAUCCAUGAGAUCAGCAUCUGCAGGUUUAUGACACCACCCUUCCUUGGCAUAGGAAAGGGAUCAUUAAGCCAUGUGUUGGAUGACAGAAGUCAUCAUUCAGGUUAUCUUGAGAACUAAGGAAGUUGGAAUUCUAAUUAUUGCAUAUGGUUCUUGAUGUUUAGCCAAUAUACCGUAGGAUUUUAAGGAUCAUGCUCAUGUGCAUUGUGGUUGUUUAUCAGCUAUAUGGUUUACCAAAAUGAGGGACUGAUUAUGGUCAUAAGUACCUUUUUCCUAUUAAUUUCUUGCAUGUGCUCUGCUGAGAUUAUGUUUUUGACAGUCCAAAUCAGGGCAAACCAACAAACAGCUUUAUGUUAACUUUUACAAACUGCCACAUUUUCAGGUUAAACGAACAGAGAUAAAUCUUGGUGAAACUAGAAGUAAUACAACUUGUGCUGUGGAGAUAAAAGAAAGGGCAGCGGCACUGGUGGCUGCAGAAAUUGAGGCAUGUAGAGACGAUAGAACCCCCAAGAUACCUCUUCAUGAGAAAGUCCAGAAAGAGUGGGCUUGUGCUGUAUGCCAGGUCACAACCCAAAGUGAAGCGACCUUCAAUUCCCACCUUCAAGGGAAGAGACAUCAGGCCACUUCUGAGCAGCUGAGAGCCAAAAACCAGGCAACCAAAACCAAUUGUUCCCCAUCUGCUUCAAUGGCCAAGAAAUCUGAUCAGUCCACCAAAGAGGAGCAACCGAAGUGUACUUCCAACAAUCUGAAUUCCAAAAACAAUGGAAUCUCAGCUGCUUCAACAGUGAAGAAACCUGAUGACACCAAAGAUGAUGAGCGACAAAAGUCUGCAUCUAGCAAUGAACCGAACCAGAAGAAUAACAAAAAGCAAGAGGUACAGACCAAUGAGCAAGGCCAUCAGAAGAACUUAAAGCAAACUGGCGAUGGAAUGAAAGAGUUGAGAUUAUGCUGCAAUAUCUGUAAUGUAAGCUGCACAAGUGAGCUUGACAUGGCCUCUCAUCUCAAUGGAUGGAGGCACUUUAAUAUGAUAAAGGAGGCGUCUGAAUUAUGGUGCAGUAACUGCAAUGUAAGGUGCAACAGUGAGGCUGUCAUGGCCUCUCACCGAAAUGGGAGGAGGCACUUGAAGCAGCUGAAGGAACGGUCGGGAUUAUAGUGCAGUAUCUGUAGCGUGAGAUUGUGUUAGGAAGAGGUGGAAUGGGUUCCAAUCAGGAAUUAAGACUCGGUUCCAAGACAUGGAAAGUGUCUUUAGAUUAUGUUAUCUCCAUUUUUUUUAUUGUGAGAGGGGAGUAUAAGGAAUGAAAAUAAAUAUAUAUAUAUUUUUUAAUAGAGAUGAAUUUGAUAAUUUUAAUUAUUGUGUUUUGAUGUAUUUAGGAAUGUAAAAUUAAAAUAAUUAUUUAUUUUCAUUUUAGUAUUUGACAAUAAUAAAAUUAUGAAUUAAAAAAUAAUGUGAUAAUAAUACAUUUAUAUUUAAUUUAAAAUAUUUUUUAUUUUAUUUUAGAAGAAUAUGGGUUAAAUUCUUUUUUUAAAUAAUAAGCUUAAGAAAAAUAAUUUUUACUCAAUAAAUAAAAUUAAUCAUAAAAAGUCAUAACAACCUAAUAAAAAUAUAGGGGUAAAAUAAUAAUUUUAAAAUAUUAUUUAAGUUAUCCAAACAAAUUUGACUCUUCAUUCUCUCUCUUGAACCAAAUACGGUCUUUUAAGCGUUUGUCAACUUAUUUUUUUUUGCAAAAUAUCAAUAUUUUACUAAUAUUUUUAUCGAUUAUUUGCCAAUAUUUAUCGCCACGUCACCAAUUCUUUGAGUUUGACUUUCAAAAUUUUGAAAUGAUAUUUGAAGUCCAGUUCAGCCCAAAUCACUACACCCAUGAUUUUUCCCUUUUCUUUUUCUCCUUAAUUUUCACAUCACCCAACAACACUACUCUUAAUUCACACAAAUUUGAAGGUUUGGAACGAGACUUCUUCCUAAUUAUAUUGUAAUUAUGUUAUAAUAACCAUGUCGUAUUUGGAUUUAUUUAUUCAGUCCAUCUAAAUCUUUUGUUUAUUCAUGUAAAAAGAAUAUAGUUAUAAUCGAAUCCAUUUGUGACAUAUUCAUCUUUUAUAAAUUUAUUAAUUUUAUAUAUUUAAAAACUAUAAAAAUUAAAUAUAUUUUUUCAAUUAUGAAUAUCAUAUUACUAAAAUAUUAAAUAACUAAUUAACUUGAAAUGUUUUAUAUUUCAUUCAUUAUUUUAUAAUUACAACAUUAAGUGAAAUAAUAAAUAGGUUAAAAUAUAUAUUUUAUUUUAGUUAAAAAUUAUAAAUUGUUAUUGAGACGUAUAACUAUUAAAAUUCUACCCAUUUGACCAUCAAACAAACAACUUAAGUUUUUAGUCAUAAUUUAAGCUUCUGAUAAACUCUAUUUCCAUAAAUUAGAAACCGAAAUCAAUUUCUUCUUAGACUCAAAAACAUAAAGACAAUCUUUUAAUUCUAGAAGACAUCUAUCAUUUAAGAUAAGGGUAACAUAUCCCAUUGCCUAAACAACAACUCUUGCUUCAAAAGCCAAUGUCAAGUACAUAUCCCUAUCAUUCAACCUUUCCCUUAGCUAAAACCCCUAUAAAGAAUUAUAAACAUAAUCAAUGGCUCCAAAAUUUAUCCACCAAGAGUUAGUGGAAUCCAACACUAAACAUAAUUCAACUAUAAGAGAAUGAUGCAUAGUUGACUAUCUCUUCAAGAACUAAGGACAUUCCUUCUUCUUCUAAUGGCAUUUUUUACCACAAAGGAAACACUUGUCAUGACCCUUACUCUUCUUCUUCUUCCCCUUAGCCUUAAACUUCCCCUUCUGCUUGAUGAACUCUAUAGUGUUCUUCUUAUUUUGGCUAGAAAAACCUAAAGAACCCUUAACUGCCAUAUAAAUACCUCUCUGGUCCUUGAGAAUUCCCUCAGUCAUUUUGUGUUCUCUCAUUAGUUCAAUUGUAGUUUAAGAAAAAUAAUGUUUUUUAUUUUAUUUUAUGUGAUUGAACUUGGAAUGAAUUUCCAAGUUGCAUACAUACUUGGGUUGAGAUCAAGUCAUAACGUAGUUUAAGAAAAAGAUUUUUUAUUUUUUAUGUGAUUGAACUUGGAAUGAAUCUCUAAGCUACCUACGUAUCCAAGAUGGGAUCAAGUUCUAACAUAGUCACAAUGCAGUUCAAGAUUUUUUUUUUUCUUUUUUUGUGCUCUAACUUUUGUCAAGACUAAAGAUCUUAAUCUUGCAAGCAUGUCCUAACUUUUGUCUAGGUCACCUUUCCAAGUUUUCAACUUAGCAAACAUUUUUUUUUUUUGUUCUCUAACGUUUGCCAAGACAAAAGAUUUUAAUCUUGCAAGCAUGUCAUAACUUUUACCUAAGUCAGAUUUUUAGGUUUUCAAUGUGGUGGAUUUUUUUGUUUUUUAUUUUUUAUUUUUUAUUUUUUGUGUCGUAGGCAAUUUAGCUCAUACGGCCCAGAAGCGAUGUGUAGUUUGUUGGGAUUCAACCCUUAAAAGCAAAACAUGAUGUAACAAAGUUAGACUUAACUAUCCCCUUGCUAUCAUUUUGGUGUAUUAACAUUGAUUUAAACAUUCAACUCAUAUUUUACAUUGUACAUGACUUAGGUGCAUUAGGAGUUGCUCAUAAGAUACAUGGAUUCCUUGUAAGUAGAUGAGUUAUCCAUAGUCAGUUCAUGGAUUUGGGCAAUCUAGUAGAGACUGUAAUGCACCACCUCUUAAUUGAAGAGAUGACUUGUCUUGACAGUUGGGAUAGGUUUCCUAUGGUGAGUGCACUAGUAUAUAUGAUGCACAUUGGAUAGGACCUACGGUAAAUCAUGAGCAAAGCUAUCAAUUGUCAUGAUUCACCAAGUUACGAUACUGCAUGGACUCUCAAUCUUGAGAGGACAUUGAACCUGUGCCAAAAUCAACAAAAAGCUUUCACCUAUAGAUGAGACCUUAAAGUGAUCAUAUAUCCCUAUGGAUUGAGUCACUAUUGAUGAAGGUUGGUGGUAAUAGGUAUUCUCAAUAGAGGCACCAUGAUAUCUCAUGAGAUUGAGACGGUGUGUCCCCUUGGGUGAUACAAAGGACAUGUGAUCAUAAAAUCUGUGACCAUAGUAAUUCUUUUAUUGAAAUUUGACAUAUACCCCUUCGAGCUAGAGUAUGUCAGUUGAUUACAUAAUAAGUGGCAUCUAUAACUUAAGGAUUUGAGAGGUAAUCUUGAUAGGUGAUAGCACUACCUUGUUAGAUUAUGGACACCAGUUCAUGGGGAAUCUACAUGCAGUGGAUGAUAUGUCACGAACGCGAGCUUCAUAUCGUUGUUAUUAACAUAGGAUACUGGAGUGCAAUUGAUUCUCUUUAGUAGAAUGUUGAAUCAACUUCAAAAUGGAUUAUGAGGGAGCCAAUACUCCUAUGGGUCUUAAUGGUCCCCACUCUGAGCUCAUAUACCAUGAUGACACAGUUUAUGAGGGUUUGAUUGGCUUUAUGUUCAUUUUUGUGCAUAAGGGCAUUUUGGUAAUUACACAAGGUUACAUAGGGGAUAGUCAAUAAGGUCUUUAGAUUGGGCCAAUUGAUUAAUUAGAUGACCUUAUGUGGUUAAUUAAUCAAUUAUGAUAUGUUUAGGCUAGAUUAAAUGACCCAAGCCUUGAUGAAUUUAAGUCACUUAAGCCUAGCAGAUAACCUUAUAAAUACCCUCUUAUGGGUUAGGGUUUCCUAAUGACUUUCAGUUAAUCAUCUUCCAUCCCUAGAAAGAGAAAGAGAGCCAAAUCUUUCUCCCUUCCAUUGCCCACACUUUGGUAUGCCAAGAUCAUGGUUCAAGUCACUGGGAGGAAGAUCUUGGGUGUACAAGACCUUCGGACUCUUUAAGUUUCUUCUUCGUUGGAUGAAUUUUUAUUUGGGACACAUCUAGAUCAUAAGUAUGUGUUAGAAAAUUUGGCUAAUUCAACUUAAGGUAAUCACUCUAGAGGAGGGGUGAAUAGGGUGAUGAUCUUUUUUUACAAAUUUAAAUUAUGUGAAUGCAAGAGACAAUUAUACUAUGCAAAUAUAUAGUAAAACCAUAUAAAAAUAAUUGCAUAUAAAGUACAAGGGUAGAAAAUAGAGAAUAUAAACACAAGAUUUUUAUAGUGGUUUGGUGCAACUCGGCCUACAUCCAUUCUCCUCUAGCUUCAAUCCCAAGUUUGAGGUUCCACUAAUUCAAGGCUUCCAACCUAACCCUUCAAGCAAUACAAUUGGAUUAUGGUUCCAAUCAAACCUUUUGGACUUUUGGCUCUAAGCACCUUUUACAAUCUUUGAUUCGUGCCUAACUGGUGUUUGCCCUGUUGAUUGGUGUUCAAUCAACUGAUGUGCUUUGAUUUCAGUCCUCAGACGAGAGUAAUCAACAAAAUUUAUAAACCUAUUUCACCAUAUACUAGGGUAGCAUUAGCUAGCAUAGCAUAGUGGCUCUAGGAUCGUCCACAGGGAUGGGUUUUCAAAUUACAAUUGAUAUUAGUUCAAAAACUGAAUUGGUGUUUUUUCUUUUCAAGGUUAGCUUUAAAAGAAAACAUAAGUAUGUGUGAAAAGGUUGGUUUUAAGUGAAACCAAAAAUAAAGUAACUGAAAUUACUUACAAAGAAAAGUGCUUCUUGGAGUUUUAGAUCACUAGGCUCAAGUUCCUUAUACAAAAAGAGAGAUUCCGAUCACUUGGAUCUUUUCCUAGCAUUGGGGAUUUAACAUAUAGUUAUUUCCCGAACCGGUGCGGUACAGAUGCUUCCCCUUAAUGGUUUCAAACACUAAAUCUCUAUCACUGAAUCAUCUUGUAAUGGUUCAUACCUCUCACCUGGUAUUGGUCAUUUAAGGUGAUCAUUAACCUUGGAUUACCCGUCAAAAGCUCGCAAAAGAUAACUAAUGAAUGUCUCCUAGGAGUCCAAAAGCUUACCAAGUGUUGGCUAUUCUAGAUAAUCCUACCUUUAAACCAUCUCCCAAAAGCUCGCAAGAGAUAAACUAGUGGAUCUCAAUGGACGGAGUCCACUUGCCUUACCAAGUGUUGGCCCAAGUGAUUUUAAGGGAUUUUAAGUUAACUAAAAAGAUAAAAACCAUUAACGGGUCACACUUUCUCUUCAUUAAAACCUGAAACAAUGAAACUUCCACUUUUGUAUACGAAACCUUACCUAGCUUCCUUCACUCCAAGAAACAAAAAGCCUAGCCACUCAUCCUCUAGGAAAACAUCCUCAGAGUUUGAUUUGGUAGAAAUAAAAAUAAAAGAGAAAACCAAAUGUGAAGGUAAGGCCGAGCAGAGCUCUGUGUAUUACUUUAUGAAAAACUAUACAAAAUUUGUCUCUAAGAGAAACUCCCCCGAGAUCUCUUUUAAAAGAAAAUUACAAUAGAUAUCAUAUAAAGAGGCUAUUCACCCCUCUUGCUAACUUCCCAACCAUGAAAACUUGUCAAUGGUGGGUUACAAGGAGAAAAUAGGGAUUUACACACAAAUAUUUGAAGAUAAACAUCAAACUGAGUCGGUGCGCAAAUAUCUCAGAUUACAAGUGGAUUUCGCAAGUUCAAACGCAACUUGCAAAAAUUUUGCAAGUUGAAAUUAUGGUUUCGCAAGUUGCGAAAUUGUCCUGCAACUAAUCAGCUCUCUGUCCUACAACAAUUCCUUUCCUCUUCCUAUUUCGCAAGUUGUGAGAAUUUCGCAAGUUGGAUUCCACAACUUGCAAAAUUGUUGGAUGGUUGAUUUCUUUUGUGAUUUUCUUCCUUGCAUCCUCAUUUGGCUUUGGCAAAGGGUUAUGAAGCUCCAAAGCUUAGUUUCUUCAUGAAUUUGAGCUUCAACUUGCUUUGCCAUGAACUAUACAAAGAUCUCCCUCAUUCUUGGAUUGCUUUGGUGAUAAAAAAGCUAUGAAAAACACCAAAACUUAACACAAUUUGAUUAGAAACGAUUGUAAGGGUCUUUAACAUGCCAAUUGAGUUAAAAGGUAAUAGCUACUACUCAAAAGUGUUUAAAAGAGUUAAUUACAAGCUAUAAAAUGACCCUUUUUGAAGUUCAACCCCUUAAGUGAUACCCCUUAAGUGAUACCCCUUAAUUCAAGAGAUGUCUUACUCUUAAACAACCCCUUAAGUGAUACCCCAUACUUGAGAUUCCCUAAGUGAUGCCUCACACUUAGAUUUUUCAUCUCAAAGAUUUACAAAUGAAGAUAGGAAAUAAUCUCACAAAAUCUUAAUACAAAACAUUAGGCUCAAAUGAUACAAGAUAAACUAUGAUUGAAUGGUGCACUAAUAAUAUGCAAGUUUUAAAACAAUGAGUACUAAAAAACACUCUCCUAAGGUUCAAAUAUAUUCAAGAAAGAUUUAAGAAGGUUAAACUCUUGAAACAAUAAAGAUUGAAACCUUUUUAUGGAGGAGAAAUGCCAAACUAGUUGUUGGGGGUUUGUCCAGUCGAGUUCUGGUUUGACCGGUUCACUAACCGUUAGCAUUUAAUGCAUGAUAGGUGAUCAUUGGGCCUUGACCAUCCCUCGACCAGUACUCAACCGGAUAAAGUUCAACCUUAAUCAAUCGAAUAAGCAUUCUAGAAUAGAGAGAAGGUUUUUGCACCUUUCAAUCAGUUGAGUUGAACAAAUAGACGGAUUCCUUAUCCAGUUCAACCGGUUGAGCCAUUUUUGGCUCAACAAUCAUCAUUUUCAACUUAAAACCUUUUAAACAAGUUUAGAAAGCAUUUGACACAAGGAUUUAGUUGAAAACAUUAAAUCAUCCUAUUUUUAAAAGAUUUAAAACAAAAUACCUCUUGAAUGAUUUUGGUGUAUAAGUAAAUAAUGUAAUGCAUGAAAAACCCAGUGCGCCAACAACCUUACAAAGAGAUCUUAUGAGGCUUAGGUAUUGAAAAACACUUCUCUUUAAGGCAGACAACAUCGUGUGAAUACCAAAGGGGAACUCUACGUUCCUAGGGAAAGAUGCCUCGUCAGUACGUCUUGAGGUUGUUCACUAACUUCGGGGUUACCGGCUUUGAGAGGAGCCCUUUGAUGACAUUUGGGCAUGCAACUCUUCAUUUUCUUCCUUGAUUCGCCUUGUUUGGUGGAUCAAAGAUUGCAUAUGCCAGUCAUUUUUGCACUAGGUUCUCUCCAUGCUUUCACGCCAGCCAAAGUAGCUUUCGUUACCCAUAGUUGAGGAUCGGCUUCUAAAGGGUACUAACAUCCUUAGUCAUUCCCACAGAUGACACCAAUGUUGGUUCUGAGUCGGCUGAAGUCAAAUUCAUCCAACUUAACGGAAGUUUGACAACCUUCCUCCAUUUUUUGUGCCUCUUAGAGAAUCCACCUAGCAGUAAUGAGAUUGGGCGAACUCCUUUCUUGCACAAAAGAAUGUUCAGAUGAGUACUUCGGGUACGCCCUUCGAAGCUUAAGUGAGGCAAAAAUAGCUCAAACUACUUAAUGAGAGAGAGUGGAUAGGUGAAUAUGUGCCUACCUUGUUCGUGCUUUUUGAGGGGUUUAUAUAAUGUUGAUGAGAAUGCCACUAUAGUGCUUACUAGACACUUUAACUUUCUUCUAUAAUGAUGAUUGUCUUGCAGGCGGUUGGGCAAUCAUCAAAAUUUUGGGUGGCUGAUAGGUGCCAUCAACUAACGUGCCAUGAUCUUAGACCAUGCAGUAACCUGUUCCCUCAGUCUGUUGAUGGCCUAAGGUUAUGUGCAACAAUUAAUUGACAUGGACUUGAGGGCUAGAAGAGGUCCCAUCGGCCGUUCACAUGUCAAGUGUGAAUGAUCACUCAUGCUAGUGGGUCUUGAAGAUUUGACUAGACAACCUUACCUAUUUGGGAGGUCCAACCUCCCAUUGCCGUUGUUUUGGCCUUAUAGGAGAAAAGGGCUUUCUCAUGUAUGGUGCUAGAGGGACUAGUCGUGAUCCAGAUGAGUUGCAUACCCAUGCUAGAUGGUCGAAGUGUCCGGGUUGGAAAUGGAGGGAAGCCUCCCACAAAUAUGAGGGAGCCUUAUGAAAACGGAUCCUUAGGGCUUAAGAAGGGGUUUUCAAUUUUAAGGUUUGCCUUUUCACCCAAGGAUGUGAAUGGGAAGAUGAGGCGAAGUUAAAAGAUUGGUGAAGCAAAGUGAGGGCAAGGUAGGGUUUGAAUAAAGGAAAGUAUACACUAUUAAUGAAGAUGAUAAUCUCUAGAAAGAAAAACUAAGGUAAACUAGGGCUUUAAUAAUAAUUUUCAAUCUACACUAGUGAAGAGGAUAUCUUCGAAAACCAAAGUUAGGGCUUCAAUAACGAAUUUCAAUCUACAAUGGUGAAGACAAUAAUCUUCGAAAACCAAAUCUAUAAUGAUGAAGAUGAUUGAAAACUAAAUCUAUACUAGUGAAGACGAUUGGAAAGCAAAUCUACACUGGUGAAGACAAUGAAACCAAAUGUAGGUCUUCUAAACUAAACGCUUUUAAGGAUUUUCCUUUUUUUUUUCCUUUGUUUUCAAGAAAGGCAAACUCUUUAGAAAACUAAAAAAACUAAUGCAUUCUUAGAUCCAGAUCACUAUUUCCAACAUGGUAUUUGGAUUGCCAGCUUGCAUUUUUUAUUUUUUUAUUUUUUUAAUAGUCAUUGGCAUUUUAGGGAUUAUUGAAGGAUAAUAUCAUUCAGCUCAAUUUCCCAAAUUAGUUAGGUCUUACACUCAAAUGUGAAACUUAUAUGGAUGUUAGGCCAAUUAUCAAACUCAUCUGCCCUAAAACAUAAUUUCCCUUUUUUAAAAUAGUUGUUAAACAUCUAUCCCAAACACGUUUAACCCUUUGAAUUGCUUGUAUGUUAACCUUGUUUCCUUUUCUUCAUGCAACAUGGCUUAUUGAUGGUUGCAUUGAAUCAUUAUCAUUCACCAAUUCCAUGCAACUAUGGACUACAUUUCAAAUCCCUCGAACAUAAAUGGUAAUUCCAAAACAACUCAAGUAUAAUCUUUUCAACCCUUUCAAAUGAUUUAAUUAAUUGAUUUUUGAAUAUAUUCAUAUAUUUUUUUGAGCAAUUUUUAGGCAUAUAACAUAAAUCUCUUUUUUAUAUAUAUAUAAAAGGUUUUAUAUUUUAUAUUACAAUUUCCUUUUGUUUUUUCAUCUAAAAAACAAAACAUAAAACCUUAAUAAACGAGUUUUGUCACAAUCCCUUAACAAGUAAUCUAUUUUUUAAAUUACUUUAACAUUUUUAGAUAUAUUGAUUCAAUCUAAUUUACUUUUAAUAUUUUUUAUAAAAUAUUUUUACUUUAUAUGACUAUAAAUUAAUUACUAUUGAUUGCAUAUUAUAGAAUAUAUAUUCUAAAAUAUAUCUUAUUGACAAUAUAAUCAUAAGAUGUUAUAUCCAUAUCCUAACAUAUUAUAUACUUUUAUUUUGUGCAAUUAGCAACAUGGUGGGAAGUGGCAAGCAGCUUAACGGAAAUGUCAUGUGCCAAUGUGCCAUGCGUGUCCCUUCCCUUAGUGAGUCUGAACUGCUCCAACAUUUCCGACAUGUUAUUUUUUACUUAGCUCUUAAGUAUUUUCGUCUCGUUUUCGUUAACCCCAUCACAUUUCGCCACAUGGAUCUAAGCCUCAUGGUCCUUUCGUUCGUACAAUGAAUGUUCCCCCAAUUCCUUAUCUACACUAAAACUCCAUACUCGCCAUCUACUCAACCACUUCUCUACUCUAGAGUUUGGGUCCUUUAUCUCUGCACGUGUCUAUGGCUUUUCACCCCAACAAGUAUGGCAUUACAAGGGCAAUAUCGUCAUUAAAGACCCAAAAGGGAAACCAAUGGCAUUAUCUUCCUUUUGGUCUAUUCUAUUUAUAUUGUAAGUUAUUCGUGAUGACUUCUCCCAUAAAAGCUAAAAACCACUCCAAUAGAGCACACUUCACUUCUUCAUUUUUUUUUUUCCAGAUAAGCUCAGAAAGCCCAGCUCAUCCCUCAACUCCCCGAUGGGUUUGAUGAAUGUUCUUAAAUUCUCAACUGCAUGCUUUGAUCUUCUUAUCUGGUAUAUUGUCCACGCAUUUUCUUGUCAUUGGAAAAUUUUGGAAAAUGAAAUGGAAUUCUAUGUUUGAUGACAAAACUGGGAUUUGCUUUGAUUUCUCCAUGUUGGUUUUAUCCCUUUUGUUUGAAUUGUCCACAUUCUUGUCAUUGGUUGUUAGUUAUUUGUUUGGAUUUCUACUUGUAGGCCUCUGUUUGCACUGGGUUAUCCUCUAUAAAUCUUGGUCUUACACACCAAGAUAUGAUGAUUCAUUUACUCUUUUCUUGUUCUAUGAAUUCUUAGUUCUGUUACAUUUAUUGGGUUGGAAAACUGAAAAAGGAAAGGAUUAUUCGUUAUUAUCAUAAUAAUCAUCAACGUCAUCUCAAUUAUUCACAGAUGUGCAUCAAUUCAGGUAAUUGAGACUAACUCGAUCUCAGACAUUCAGAAGUUGGUGGCAUAUUGGGUUCUAUUUUCCUUGAUUUCACUUUUUGAUCGUACUUUUUCCAAGCUCCUUGAAUGGUAAUUUUGUUCAACUUCAUUCCAUCAUAUGUGGCUCUAUUUGUUUCAUUUCUUUGCCCUUCAGGAAUUUGGAGUUGCCUUUUUUAGUUUUCUUCCCUGUGAAAAUAAUCGAGAUGUUUAAUGUUCCAAGCCUCCAUGUAUUUUAUUUUCCUUCAUUUCUCUGCUUUGAUAAAUCCCCAUGAUUUGAUCAGCAAAAAGGCUAUAACAUUUGACAAAGAAAUGCUUUAUUUUGGUUUUUUAAGUACAACAAUUUUCAUUUGGAGAAAUGGUCUAAAGGGUAUCGGUGUUUGGAUGAAUCAUGGAAUUUUCUCGCUAAUUUGGGAUUUAUUCUCAAUUUCAAUAUCAUUGUGGAUAUUUCAAAAAUUAAUGAAAUAUAUAUGAUGGAAUGUGAUUUUCUUGUUUAAGAAAAGUUUUUCUUUAAAAAUUUAGGUAACCCUGACCUACCUUAUUGUGCUACUCGAAACACAAAACAAAAGUACAAGUAAUUUAGUAACUAAAUUGCACACUUUUUGAUAGUUCAAGGAAGUGGUGUUAGCUUUGGAAAUAAGAUGGAUCUACUAGUUUUUAUUUCUCAUCUUUAUAGGGAACUUUCCAUAAUAUAGCUUAUAAAUACCAUAAUCACAGUGAUGAAUAAUUGUCUUGUUUGAAAGCAUGGUUGCACUUAUUUGCAUGGAAUUUGUCUGCGUUGAAAUUAAAUUAAGCUUUAUGCAUCAUUUGGAUGCUGAGAAACAAAUGAAAAUAGAAAAUUCAAAAUUUGACAAGUUUGUGUAGGGAAAUUGGAUCUAAUCUCUUAAUCGAAGCUUAAUUAGGGCAAAUGUUGAUCCUCUUUGGACCUAUUGAAAGCUCUAAUCUGUGCACAAUUCUAAUGUUUUUGUUUCCUUAAUUUCUUUUUCAACUUUUCAACAAAGCAUCAAUUUGCUAUAAUAAAUGAGAACCAACUUGACGAUGAGAAAAAUGACUGGUGAUGAUGUCAUAGAGAAUCGCAGAUGAGAACAACCAAAAAUACUAGGAUUGGUACCACUGAUGGUAAUGAAGAAAACACAAAAAUGGUGCAAAUGGUGAACAGGAAACUCAAAAUGGAAUGGGAAAAGAAACCUAAACAAUAGUCUCCUAUAUAAAGCACACAACAUGUACAUCGAGGCAUCUGAAAGGACACGCUGCCUGAGAAGUCACUCUAAUUGAUGUGACUCCUCAUGACGUGGGUGGUGGACAUAUGUCCCAUGGUGCCAAAAAUUUCAAACACUCAAGCAACCGAAUACUUUCACUUAGUCAUUUAAAGCCUAGCUAGACUCAAUUGCAAGAAUUAAGGGCAUUGUGGGAUGCUCACCACCGUCUAUCAUGGUCCUCAAACACUGUCUGGUGUGAGACAUAUUGGCACAAGAGCCAUGUAGCUUCUCUAUCCACCCCAAGAUACUCCUAGGGUAGCAAACGAACACAAUCCGACCAAACACUAUGCAUUCCUACCCUACAAGCAUUAAUUUCAAUGAGCAAUAAGUGUAUUAACACAUUAAUGAAUGCAACCGUUAUAACGCUAAAACGCCAUACUUUAAGGUUCAUCAAGACACAACAACCAUUAUGGGCCGACAAUUAUUGGCGUUAAAUAUGGUAAUGCGCAAUCAAAGGCUCAAUUAAGGCCCUUUAGAAGACGUUACUAUUGGGCAAAGAUAAAUAACCAUUUUUUACCACAAGAAAGUCUGAUGCCAUUUUUUUCACAAAAACUUUUGCUUAAGUCUUCCAUCUCUAACCUAAGCUUUGAAGGGGUGUACUUGGAAAACCUAUCCGAACAUUCCUUUAUGUAGGUGCAAUCAUCGUUUAUGUCACGCGAAGGCUAGUCAAAGACCUUUAUUGGUCGUGCACCAAUAAAUCUAUUUAGUAUAUCUCAUUUAUCCGUUCAAGUGAGAUGAAGGAGUGACCUAAAGAUAGAUUGGAAACAUCAUAGUUUCUUAUAUUGGUAAGGCAGCAACAACCUCGGCUAGUGCAUCAACCUGCUCGUUUUCCUCUAGGGGUACGCGUUUGAUAAACCAUUCAUUCAAUUUUUCUGUUCAAGUGUACCAAAGAGAGGUAAUGAGCCAUGCAUUCAUCUCAAGCUUCAUAUUUUAGUUAGAUUUGUUCACCCACUAGUUGUGAAUUGCUUUUGAUUUCUACUUUCAUGGUUGUGAGAGCUAAGGCUAGAUCGUCUCAUAAGAAUUGCUUCAUAUUUUGCCUCAAUAUUAGAUACUGGAAAGUUGAGACAGACGACUUGUUCAAUUUGCUCUCCUGUAAGGAAUUGUUGUGUUAGUCCUAUCCUAGCUUCUGAUGUUCUAGAGGCUUCGUCUACAUGGAGAACACGCCAUUGUUCUUCAUUGUUAGACCUUGUCCAUUUUUGGGGUGGUUCGACUAUGAAAUCAAUGAGAACUUGCUAUUUGAGAUACUAAUGAGGUUUGUACCGUAUGUAAUAUUCACUCAAUUUGAUUGCCCAAUUCACCAUUCGACUAGAUAGAUUUAGCUUGUGCAACGUGACCCACAACGGUUGAUUUGUCAAGACCGUUAUUUGGUGCGCCUGAAAAUAUGGACAAAGCUUCUUGGCAGCGAUCCGUAAGUUCAGAGCCAUUUGUUCCACUUAAGAAUAUCGUGUUUUUGUGUCAAUCAUAGCUUUUCUCACAUAGUAAAUAAGUCUUUGUUCAUUACUCUAAUUGUGUGGAAACAAUAUGACAUUGACAGCAAAGUUUGACACAACCAGGUACAUGUAUAACUCUUCUCUAGCUUCAAGACUACUUAAGAUUGGUGGCUUCGUAAGAUACUGUUUGAUGUCUUUAAAGGCAUGCUCACACUCAUCCAUCUAACUAGACAUCUUUGCUCCCUAGAGUUUGCUCAAGAAAGGUCUGAGCUUAUUUAUGAAGCGUGUUAUGAACCAACCUAAGGUGAUUAGACACCCAGUUAGACGUUGCACUUCCUUCUUGCUAGUAGGAGCAGGGAUUUCUAACACUACUUUCACUUGAGCCAGAUCGACUUCAAUACCCCCUUUGAGUCACCAUGAACACAAGAAACUUCCACUCACUUACUCUAAAUGCAUAUUUUAUUGGAUUAAGCUUCAUGUCAUACCUGCACAUUAAACUGAAUGCUUCUUCCAAAUGGAGGAGCUUCUUGGAACGAGUUAUUCUCUUAAUGACAAUGUCAUCGAUAUAGACUUCCAACGUUCGACCUAUCAAGGGCUUAAAAAUAUGGGUCAUCAACUGUUGGUACGUAGCUCCAAUGUUCAUUAACCCAAGCGACAUGAUCUUGUAAAAGUACAACUCCUUAUGUGUAAUAAAUGUCAUCUUCUCUUUGUCAUGUGGAAACAUUGGUAUCUGGUGGUAUCCAAAAGAAGCAUCAAGAAAAGACAACAUUCCAUGCCUGGUUGUGGCAUCGACUAUCUAAUCUAUCUAGAGCAAUGGGAAGCUAUCUUUCAAGCAGACUUCAUUCAUAUCCACGUAGUCUGCGCACACCUGCCAUUUUUCUCCUUUCUUGGUACCACUACCACAUUUGUUAACUAGUCCAAGUAGGUCACCUCCUUGAUAAAUCUUCCUUUUAAUAGCUUCUCAACUUCUAUCUAGAUAAUUUUUUGAUGAUCCAACUAGAAACGUCAGACUUUAUAUUGUAUGGGUCGUGCUGUAGGAAGAAGGUUCAACUUAUGAGAGCUCACCGCUAGGUCUAUUCCAAGCAUUUCCGAAUGAAUCCACACGAGGAUAUCCUUGUUUUUACAAAGCAUUUCACCAACAUUACCACAUUCAUCCCUAGUUAGCAAAAAAUUAGCGUAAGUCAUCUGCUUAUUAUUUUUCGACAAAGAUAGCUAUUGUAAUAGGCUGAUUGCCAAUGAGUCUCUAUCCUCUAGUUUUCCUUCGACCUAAUUCUAUAAUUGUUAUUAGCUCUCUCUUGAUGAUUUGAGUUCAUCUUUAGUUGGGCCUGAACUCCAUCGCCACUUAGUAACACUACUAGGUGGCUAAUUGGAUUCCAUGUGGAUCCACUUACCCAAAUUCUGUCAGGUAGCUCACCAUCUUAUGAUAGGUGGAUGGAAUAACUUUCAUCUUAUGUAGGUACGACAACCUUAUGAUGGUGUUGUACGACGGUAAAUCCUCUACUAUAGAAAAUCAUACGUUGAGAGUAGGCGGGUUGGCUUGGACAAGAAGUACCACGUCGCAUAGUGAUAUUGUGGCAACCCUAUUAAACCCAAACAAAAGUCGAACUAGAUUUUCUAAGGCAGAUGACGAACAUCCCAUUUUCCUGUAGGUUGACAUAUGCAAUAAAUUGGAAUGAUCAUUUUAGGAAGGAUCACUUGAUUAAUGUUAAUUGAAGGGAAAGUGAUUGGGUCAUUGACUGGUCGGGCACUUUCGACAGUAAAUGUGCACUGAACUGCACUUACUCUUUCCCUCCCUGUAGUCGCACAGAGCAUUCGUCUCCUUUGUUGUUUGGAGUGAUAUUUGUCAUCUACUAUUUCCCCAUGGAUAUAGUUAAUCACUACUCGAUGUGUUGUGGGAGAGUCAGGAACUCACUCUGACACUUCACGUGUCAUUUCUUUAUGUCCACCAGUUGCUCAGACAUACAACUUGAGAUGUCCGGUAAUGAUUAGUUUCUCCACCAAGUAGUGCAAAUUUUUGCACUCUUCUGUGGUGUGCCCAUGCUCCUUAUGAUAGAAUCAUCGCAAUCCUCGAUCAUGCUUGGACGAAUCAGUUUUGAUGGGCUCUAGCCACUUGAACUCGAGCAGCUCUCAAAUCAAGAGGAGAAUUCUAUCAUAAAAAAUGGUCAACGGGGUGAGCCUAGGCGAUUAUCAUUGUUGUUGUCUUUCUUGUCCUUGAUUAGUCUAUCUAGACUGGCUUGAGGGCUUUAAGCUCUUAGCCUUCUUUUUUAAUUGCUCGGUUUAUAACCAGGAUUUGUUGAGAGGUUACCUAAACAUCCUCCUCAAGCAUGACAUGUUUGCCCACUCGUCUAAAUAGGUCAUUCAUUGUAGUGGGCAACUUUUUGGCCAUGGACUUGAAGAAUUGAGUGCUUGGACUGAUGAUCCAUUUGAAGAUCUGCAGGAUAGCAUCCAUGUUGUAAGAUUCCAUCUAGAACACCGCUUGUCUGAAUCACUUCAUGAAGUCCCUUAGCGAUUCAUUCUCCUACAUCUGAAUGUUCUAUAAGGUGCUUAUAUUCUGCUUUUGGCGAGCAAAACAUAAAUAAUGGCCCACAAAGGCCUCUAAAACAUCUGUCAUCUGUUGUUGGAAGUGCAUCAGGUGAACAAAAGAGUCACCAUCCCAUAGUAAAUAGUAAAUUUGGGCACCGGAAACCCCUGGGCAGCUCAUAACUAAUGAUAUGUGGGUCAAACGACAUGAAGAGCAUGUCAUCCAAUCAUCUACUUAUGGAGUCAAGAGGGGCUUUUGUCAAUGGGUUAUUUGUCGAUUGUAGUUCUAGUAUUGAACAUUAAGGCAGACGGCUUGGUGAUGCCUCAUCGUUUGAUUGGCCUAAUUGUGCUUUCAAGGCCUCCAAUAUGCAUGGCGAUGCUAGUGUUCUUCUCUCCUGAUACCCAAGAUAGGCUUUCAGGGCAUCUGAGAGACGUAAGCCCCAUUCUUAACCCAUUUUCCAUUUUUCUCCAAUAGAGCUUGCAACCUCUUUCGCUUGAGUUCGAUCGACUACUGAAUGCACUAGUUCAAGUAAUGUUAGCGAACUGCUAGUAGACAAUCCCUCAUCCACUGUUUGUAGAGACGACUUAGUGUAUCAUUGAAGAACUUUCAUUGUUUGGCUUCAAACUACUCUUGAAGUCGUCUAUUGGUUGGAGGUACGAUGACUUUUUUAUCAGCACCCCAUAGCCACUUGUGCUCGUAGCUCUUGGUUCUCUUGCUGUAGUUGUUCUGCCUGUUGGACAGGGACUACAUAGGUUAUUCAUAUUCUUCUUGCUUUUUUUCUAUCUUUCCUUGCCAAGCUUGGAAUCGCUCGUCAACAUUUGCAGAAUGAGUUGCAGGAGGCGUGUUAACCAUCGUGUUUUUUAGGCAUUUGUGGUUGAUUCCCAUAGACAAUGCCAAUGUUGGUGCACGACCAGUAAAAAAAGGUGUUUGGCUAGUCUCCAUGUAACAUAGAUGACGAUUGCACCUGCACAAAGGAAUGUCUGAAUGGGUUUUUCAGGUACACCUUUCCAAAGCUUAGGUCAGAAAUGGAAGACUUAAGCAAGAGUUUUUGUGGAAAAAUUGGUAGCAUACUUUUCUUGUGGUUAAGAAUAACUAUUUAUCUUUGUCCAACUAUAAUAUCUUCUCAGAUGCCUUAAUUGAGCCUUUGAUUGUGCAUUAUCAUCUUUAAUGUCAAUGAUAGCCAACCCAUAAUGGUUGUUGUGUCUUGAUGAACCUUAAAGGUUGGCGUUUUAACCUCAUAAUGAUUGCAUCCAUCAAUGCGUUAAUGCACUAAUUGCCUAUUGCAAUUAAUGCUUGUUGGGCAAGAAUGCAUAGUGCCCGAUUAGAUUGUGUUUGUUUGGUACCCUAAGAGUACCCUGGGGUGGACAAAAAAGCCACAUGGCUCUUGUUCUAACAUGUCUCGACUAGACAGUGUUUGAGGAUCAUGUUAGAUGGUGAUGAGCAUCCCACAGUGAAGACGUAUGAUGAAAGCAAAGGUAGGGCUUCUAAACCAAACGCUUUUAGGGAUUUUUUUUUUUUUUUCAACAAAGUUGACCUCUUCAAGGAAAAAAAAAAAGGUUAAAAAAACUAUUGCUUUUUUGGAUCCAAAUCACCAUUUCCAAUGUGAUAUUUGGAUUUCCACCAUGUAUUUUUUUUUUUUUUAACAGUCAAGGACAUUUUAUGGAUUAUUGAAAGAUAAUAUCUUUCAACUUAAUUUCCUACAUUAAUUAAGUCUUAGGCUCAAAUGUGAAACUUAAGUGGUUGUUAGGCCAUCAAACCCAUCUGCCCUAAAGUAUAAUUUCCCAUUUUCAAAAUAUAUAGUUGUUAAACAUCUAUCCCAAACUAUUGUAACCCUUUGAAGUGCUUGGUAUGUUAACCUUGUUUCCUUUUCCUUAUGCAACAUGGCUAAUUGAUUGUUGCAUUGAAUCAUUAUCAUUCACCAAAUCCAUUCAACUAUGGACUUACCUUUCAAAUCCCUCUAACAAAAAUGGUAAUUCCAAAACAACUCAAGUCUAAUGUUCUCAACUCUUUCAAAUGAUUUAAUUAAUUGGUGUUUGAAUAUACCUCUUAUAUUUUUUUAGAGCAAUUUUUAGGCACAUAACAUAAAUUUCUAAUUUUUUUUUAGAAAAGGUUUUAUAUUUUAUAUUUUAUAUUACAACUUCCCCUUUUUUUUCCAUCUAAAAAACAAAACAUAAAACCUUAAUAACCGAGUUUUGUCACAAACCCUUAACAAAUAAUCUAUUUUCCAAAAAUUACUUUAACAUCUUUAAACAUAUUGAUUUAGUAUACUUUACUUUUAAUAUUUUUUGAAAAAUAUUUUUAUUUUAUAUGAUUAUUAAUUAAUUAAGAUUGAUUGGGUAUGGUAGAAUAUAUAUUCCAAAAUACAUCGUAUUGAGAACAAUAUCACAAGAUAUUAUAUCCAUAUCUUAACAUAUUAUAUACUUUUAUUUUGUGCAAUUAGCAAUUGGACGGAAGGUAGGGAGCCGGCUUAAUGGAAAUGUCGCAUCUCACGUGUGUCCCUUCCCUUACCAAGUCUCAACAAAGGAUGAAAAUAUCGGUAAUCACGGAUAUAUCGGUACUUCGAUUUUACGGAUAUAUUAGAUAUAUCAGAGAUAUAUUGACGGAUAUUUUGGAAAAAAAUAUCGAUAAGCCUAAAAUUGAUCAAAAUUUAUAAAAAUAUAAAAAAAACUUCAUAAAAAUGUAAUUAAAAGAAGGUCGUAUAAGUUACUCAUGUUGAUCAUGUGAUAUAUCACGAGAUAUAAUCGAUUUUUGGGAAUUUCUCACGAAAAUAUCGCGACAUUUCUUCCUUGUCUCGACUGCUCCAAGAUUUCCUAUACGCCCUUCUUCGCUUAGCUCUUAAGUCUUUUCUUCUCCUCUUCCUCAAACCCAUCACAUUUCGCCGCGUGGAGCUAAGUCUCAAGGUCCUUUUGUUCGUACGAUGUAUGUUCCCCCAAUUCCUCAUCUACCUUGAAACUCCAUACUCGCCAUCUACUCAACCACUUCUCUACUCUAGAGUCUGGAUGCUUUAUCUCCGCGAGUGUCGAUGGCUCUUCACCCCAGCGAGUAUGGAAUUACAAGGGCAAUAUCGUCAUUAAAGACACAACAGGCAAACCAAUGGCAUUGUCUUCCUUUUGGUCUAUUUUAUUUAUGCUGUAAGUAUUCGUGCUUGACUUCUCCCGCGUCUCUUAUAAAAACUAAAGAAAACCACUCCAACAGAGCACACUUCAAGAAUCUUCUUUUUUUUUUUCUUUCCUCUUUCUCUUUACAUAUAUACUGAGAAAGCCCAGCUCAUCCCUCAAUUCCCAGAUGGGUUUUAUGAAUGUUCUCAAGUUCUCAGCUGCAUGCUUUGAUAUUCUUGCCUGGUAUGUUGUCCACGCAUUUUCUCGCCAUUGGAAAUUUUUGGAAAAUGAAGUGGAAUUCUCUGUUUGAGGACAAACAUGGGAUUUUCUUUGAUUUCUCCCUGUUGGUUUUAUCUAUAUUCUUUGGAUUACCCACAUUCUUGUCAUUGAUUGUUAGUCAUUUGUUUGGAUUUCUACUUGCAGGCCUCUAUUUGCACUGGGUUAUCCUCUGUAAGUCUUGGUCUUACACCUCAAGAUAUGAUGAUUCAUUUACUCUUUUCUUGUUCUACGAAUAGUUCAGUUACAUUUAUUGUGUUGGGAAACUGAAAAGGGAAAGGAUUAUUCUUUAUUAUCGUAAUAAUCAUCAACAUCAUCUCGGUUCUUCACAGAUGUUCUUCAAUUCGGGCAAUUGAGACUAACUCAAUCUCAGACUUUCGGAAGUUGGUGGCGUAUUGGGUUCUAUUUUCCUUGAUUUCACUCUUUGAUCAUGCUUUUUCCAAGCUCCUUGAAUGGUAAUUUUGCUCAACUGCGUUCCACUAUAUGUGACUCUGUUUGUUUCAUUUCUUUGCCCUUAAGGAAUUUGGAGUUGCUUUUUUCAGUUUUCUUUCCUAUGAAAAUAAUCGAGAUGUUUAAUGUUCCAGGCCUCCAUGUAUUUUAUAUUCCUUCAUUUCUCUGCUUUGACAAAUGCUCACAAUCUGAUCAGCAGAAAGGUUAUAACAUUUGAAAAAGAAGUGGUUUAUUUUUGUUUUUUUUAAGUACAAUAAUUUUCGUUUGGAUAAAUGGUCUGAAGGGUGUUUGUGUUUGGCUGAGUUCAUGGAAUUUUCAAGCUAAUUUGGGAUUUAUUCUCAAUUUCAAGAUCAUUGUGGAUAUGUCAGAAAUUAAUGAAAUAUAAAUGGUGGAAUGUGAUUUUCUUGUUUAAGAAAAGUUUUUCUUUGAAAAUGCGGGUGCACCAGACCUACCUUAUUGNNNNNNNNNNNNNNNNNNNNNNNNNNNNNNNNNNNNNNNNNNNNNNNNNNNAUCAGAUUCAACUGUGAUAGCCCGGAAUUUAAUUCAGUAUUCGACUCUUCUGGGAACAUGUUGGUUAUGGUUUCUCUCUCACUGUCCUCUUCUUUACACAUGACUUUUCAGUUGAGGAGCACAAAGCCUAAUGUUGAAGUGAAAGAGAUCAAAGCACCUGCAGCACCGGAGAAAAAAGGGGAACAGGUAAGUACUCUAAUGUGGCUAUUUAAUUUCUAUGGAGGCAGAUCCCCAGAGAAAUGCUGUUCAUGUAAAUUACUGAUGCAUUUGAUUCAAUGGCCACGGUUUUAAAAGAAAAACCACUUUAUGUAUGUUUCUGUGAAUGAGAGAACAAGUUUAUGGAUUAAAUGAUAUUUUUUAUGGUGAAAUAAUCAAUAAUUUUCAAAAUAAUAAUACAUUCCUGCAUGUUUUUGCAAUUCAUGAAUUCCUUUUAUGAUUGAUUCUUCUCACCUUUUUUCUCACCUCAGUGGAAGUGUGAAGAGCCUAAUGUUGCUCAAAAAGAGAUCCAAGUAGUCAAAGUAACAGAGAUAAAAAAUGGGGGGGAUGGAGCAAAGAGGGUAAGUUUUGCUUUUUAUUUAUAAAGUAGGCUGUCUUCACACAAGGAUUAUUAUUAUUAUUAUUGUUAUUAUUUUAAGACAUGAAUGUUGAAUGAUUUUGGAAUUGUCCUUGAAUCAUGUGAAGUGUGAAUGGUCUAAUGCUGCUAAGGAGGAGGUCAAAGUGACAGAAGUAACACAGAGAACAUUUGGUGGUACAGCACAGUGGGUAAGGUUUCAUGUCAUAUUUAAAUGGCUCCUCAUAUUUCACUAGGAUUAAUUUUGCCCCUACAAACUAUUUGGCUACAAGUUAAGACAGAGUUCCAGAUGCUGAUAAAGCUGAGACAUAAGUAAUGAACGAAUUUAGACACAUGCACAACUCUUGUGUGAAACACAAUGAGAGUGGAAAAUAGCUAAGUUGAAAAAUGGCCAAAUACUAUUUUGUAGUUCCCCCUACCACUUAAGUAAUUUUUGUCAUCCUUUGUGAAUGGAAAAUGCAGUCCCUUCAGUAAUUCCAUUAUAUUCAUGACUUGGUGAAGCAUAUAACCAUUAGUGUCUUACCCUAAGUCGACCUUUAAUGAUGAUCCAUUGAGAUGGGUCUGACUUUUGUCAACCCUCUUAUUCCCUUGAUCAUAGAGGUGAAACUUAGGGGGCUUAACCCACUUUUCAAUCUUAUUGGAUAUAUGGCACGUGGUAUCCUCUUCAUCUUGAAAGAGUGAAGUGGUCAUACUCUUUCCUCUGAGUCCAUUGUGGCCAUGCACUUCAGGCUCAUUGGGCUGAGUGAAAGGAUUCCCUUCUGCUUCAAAUCAUAGAGAGAUAUGCCAUGGUCAGCCUCUUUAAUUCAAGGGAUUGAAGUACUCAAAUCCAUUUCUCUGUAUCCAUCUUAGUUCUGCAUUCAUGUCUCAUGGUUAACCAAGAAGAUCCAGCCUCCAUCCAUGAGAUCAGCAUCUGCAGGUUUAUGACACCACCCUUCCUUUGCAUAGGAAAGGGAUCAUUAAGCCAUGUGUCGGAUGACAGAAGUCAUCAUUCAGGUUAUCUUGAGAACUAAGGAAGUUGGAAUUCUAAUUAUUGCAUAUGGUUCUUGAUGUUUAGCCAAUAUACUAUAGGAUUUUAAGCAUCAUGCUCACGUGCAUUGUGGUUGCUUAUCAGCUAUAUGGUUUGCCAAAAUGAGGGACUGAUUAUGGUCAUAAGUACCUUUUUCCCAUUAAUUUCUUGCAUGUGCUCUGCUGAGAUUAUGUUUUUGACAGUCCAAAUCAGGGCAAACCAACAAACAGCUUUAUGUUAACUUUUACAAACUGCCAUAUUUUCAGGUUAAACAAACAGAGAUAAAUCUUGGUGAAACUAGAAGUAAUACAACCUGUGCUGUGGAGAUAAAAGAAAGGGCAGCAGCACUGGUGGCUGCAGAAAUUGAGGCAUGUAGAGACGAUAGAACCCCCAAGAUACCUCUUCAUGAGAAAGUCCAGAAAGAGUGGGCUUGUGCUGUGUGCCAGUUCACAACCCAAACUGAAGCGACCUUCAAUUCCCACCUUCAAGGGAAGAGACAUCAGGCCAUUUCUGAGCAGCUGAGAGCCAAAAAUCAGGCAACCAAAACCAAUUGUUCCCCAUCUGCUUCAAUGGCCAAGAAAUCUGAUCAGUCCACCAAAGAGGAGCAACCGAAGUGUACUUCCAAU